CCAUGUCUCUUAUUCUUGAUCAGCUAUAGCUCUGGAGUUUUUGUAGAUUUUCAAAUAAAACUCAGAGAUUCCUUGUAUGACUCUCUCAGAUCUCCCUUUUGUGGUAUUUUUGGAUCCUUACCAAGGCAGUGAUGGUAUAUGCCUUCUCUCAAAAUUUGUGGUAUUUGUGGUAUGAAGCACAGUGACAUUUCCUUCUCUCUCAUCCUACUCUAAUAAGGCUUUGAUAUCUGGAGCUCAUAGGUGGGAGAUAAAGUAUACAUACUUACAAGACAUUUAUUGUAUAGUUAAACCAUGGAUCCAGAGAAACAAGUCAAUAAGUCAAAUCAAGAUGUGCAUGUGUGGCGAAUGAAUGGUGUAUGAUGAUGAUGGUGAUGUUGGUGCAAAAGCGGAUCUGCAAACACAAAGGGCUAAUACCCGAUUCAAACGUUAAGGCGUGCCAGCCGAUUUGACCUUACUAUCGGCAAAGGUGAUAACUCGAACACUUUGGUCCCGACAACAGCGAUGCGCCCGGAUGUCACGGCCAAGAGGUAUUCACGUGGAACUCGAGAAUACGCCGAGCUUAAGUCAACGAAUUCCUAAGAACUCGUAGUAAAAAGGAAAAUAUGACGAAGUCGUCGAAAAAAGUAGAUGCUGGAAUAUGAGUAAAAACUUGUGUUUUUAUUGAUUGAUCGAUUCUCAUUACAAGUCCCUAGGGUCUACAUUUAUACCCUGCUCAAAGAGCUACAAUCAGACACGACUAGGACUCGAAUUCCAAAUUAAACAGAAUCCGUAUACAAAACAAAUUUAAAUAACUAGGGAAAACAUGAAACUACCCCCUUGUAACCGACCGGGACAUCGCCACAGAUCAAUCGACAAUCUCCACGCUUUCCUUUAGAGUCAUCUGUAGACUUCCUGUUAUGGCCAUCGGUAAACACAGAUAUUGAUCAUUGGUAAGAACACGUCACCACCCCUGGACUUAGUCACAUUCAAUCGUCUCUUCAUCGGCAACUCUUCUGCAGACUAGUUACCGUUGCUCCACCUGCCGAUCUAUACUUUACUGGUCCCUGCGUACGUGUCCGAAAAUAGUGUCAACACAUGCCCCCCAAUUUCGGAGUAUAAAAUCAUUAAUGCUCCUAAAUUCUUUCCAGUAAUGAUGCCUUUCCGCAAUUAAUUCUCCCAAUUUGGUAACCGACCGUUAAAUCUGAACAACCUUGGCCCGAUUCUCCUGCAGAUUCCUCGAAUUCCUCAACCUUCCAAACCAGAUCUCUCCACUUUAUGCACCCAUCGGAAAUAUUACCGUUAGAGGGAACUGCCGAUGGACCGUCCAAGAGACCCCGCAUAGUGAAAUAUGUCCAAAAUCGUGACCGCUUGCUGUCAAAUCACCUGCACAAUUUCUUGAUUACCGCGCAAACAGUUACCAUAUCUACCAGAAUACCCUCGGAUUUCACGGAUGCAGCAAAGAGAUAAGUCAAAUUUGCCCCUGCCCGUUUUGUCCUAUAAAUACUUCCUUCUCGGGUACUCCUUCUCCAUCUUGUCAUUCUACAGCCCAAAAUCCACUUUCACAGCGGCGGCACCACCCGAGGACUCCAAGAACUUCAACGAAGGCCUUCCUCACCAAUCUCCCAAGUCUUCGAUCUUCUUCCUCGCAUGAAAAUGGCCAUCAAUUUCACCGUGCCUGAGGUCAGUUCACUACCCUUCUUUUCUGUAUCUUUACCGUACUCCUGUUCACCCACGAUUUCUUUUACUGAAUACUCCUUCUUCAUUUUUUUUAUUCUUUCUUUUAUCCCCACAAACCUUAAGGAUCUGGCCGAUAAGAUCAUUAUUCCUACCGAUCAACCUCACCUCCAAUGUCUUGGCCCGCUAGGAAACCCAGAUCCCACCGAUCUGAUAAACGCAGAGACAAACAGAGUUUCUUUUAGAGCCGAAAAUUUCUCUCUAGAUCUAUGGAAGGAUGCCUUCCGUUCCUGGCCUAGCCCUACUAAGGGAUCGAAGGAUUGGUUCUUGAGAGUCAGUCAUUCAAAUGAAGUUCAAUGGGGUGAGCGAAAAUUGGACCAAUGCAUUAGGUUGUCCCUUGCUGAUAUGGAGAGGAAUGAGUCAUUGCUGAUCGCCGCUUCAUACUUUUGGUCACACACACUCAAUGCUUUUGUGUUUGGCCAUGGCCCUGCUUCCCCUACACUUGCCGAUGUACUUAUGCUCACCGUCUUAGAUAUAUCCACUGCCGAUAACACCCACCUGUUCGACACCAAACCCAGUGCUAAGGUGGAAACUCGUGCUAUCGGCGGUUAGUCAGGGUACAUUCAGAAGUACCGAAGAACAGGUCCUGUCAAUGCAAAGGAACAGACCACUUUUCUGAACAUGUGGCUAGAUAAAUUUGUAUUCUGUGGCCGAUCGGCAGGACCAACUUCUGUUUACCUAUCGGCAGCAGAAAGAUUAGCCAAUGGUGGCCGAUUUCCCCUUGGCCGAUACUUGCUUGGCUCGGCUUAUCACCUCCUCCACCAAGUAGCCAGGAAACUUCUGCUCGGCCAAUCCAUCAGCAACUUAGGGGGUCCUUGGUGGUUUAUCAACAUGUGGCUUAAUCUCCACAUGCACAAGCGCCUUGAAUUCGACCUCUUUGCACAGCGCUUUCCCAGGGACAUAGCCGAAGAUUAUGAACUGGAUGAGAAAGAAUCGGCAACUCACUCUCCCUUGAACUUUGGCAAAGCGGCCAUAGUUUUACUUGGCACUGGUGGUAACGAUGACCAGGUUAGCCGAUUCUUCCAAACUCUAUACGAGGGUCUAACCAAAGAACAACGCGCAAGGAUGCCUUAUGAAGACCCAGAUACCAGAUUUCCCUUAACUUUCCGCCACUUCAACGAUGGUCUCAACAAGGACCGUGAUGUGAUGAUGGCAAUUAUCACCCCAAGAGCCAUACCAGUGAACUUCUUUGGUAGUGGGAAAGCCUCCAAUCUGACCUAUGAGUUUUAUAACCCAUCGGCACUAGCUCGCCAACUGGCUUUCGGCCAACUGCCGAUUGCACUUUGCUACGCCGAUGUGAUAAAGCCGAGGGAGAUCAUCACCAGCAAUCUGGAAUGGAUUAGGGUAGCCCAACUUCCACCAAACGCCGAUACAGAUGUCGAUCUAUCGGCUUGGAUCCUGACUCUCGUCAUCACUCAGGCCUACAAAUAGUGGUGGGAAGAAUGGAAAGAACACCUGUUCUGCAGAUCAGCUCUCACAUACCAUGGCAUGAUCGACCCCAAGUACAAAGUCCCUAAUACUACUGUAAGUACAUUAAACCGAUGCUACAAUCCUUUCACUUUCACUUUCCAUCGGUAACUUACUUUCCUUGUUAUAUACAGGUCGAUGACACGCCACCAUUGGUCAACAGGAGUGGUAGAACGAUUGAACUCCUUCCAUCGGGCCCGAUCUCUGUGAUCGGCAACAAUGCUCCAACCUUGGCUGCUAUAAUGCAUCGGGGUGUACGUCUCAAGAAAGUUACCACCAAGCGGACGAAGACAUCCCCAUCGGUAGCUGCCACUGCCUUAGCACAAGCCUUCAAGGUAAACUUUCAAAUUCUUCAACUCAUACCGAUUCCAUUCUUAUACCUGUUACACUUGUACACAUAAACUUUUCGUUGUUGUAUCAGCAUACCGGUACAUCGGCAAAGACCAGAAGUACAACUGCCGAUGCCCCCCAGUCCAGUCAACCGAAGAGAAAAGGUUCCAAGAGUACCAGACCACAAGUGAAGCGCCUGAGAACAGCAACGCCUCCUCCUCCCCCAAGGUCUCUUAUCCCAGUAGAAUCAUCCCCUUCUUCUCUAGAAGCCCAGACACAGCAAGUACCAUCUCCUCCCCAGCCACAAGAAAAACCCCAAACAGAAGAACUCCAGCCAAAAUAACCUCAGCCAGAAGAAACAUCGGCUGACGUACACGAGCAGACCGCCGAUCCAGCAAGCCUAAUCGUAGCAUCGGUAGUCUCCCCGAUUCAAACAAGUACUGCACCCCCUCAAGGUAACAUACUUUCCAUCUAUUGCUGAUUAACCUAUUUUUUCCACUUUAUUAAUCACUUCUGUCAAUCUUUCAGCUGACAUAGUUUCUUCGGCAACUCCAGCUGAUCAGCCUGUGGUUCCAUCGGCCUCAUCUAGUUAGAGGCAAGAAAUAGCCCUGAAACAAGUAAGUUACCCGAUCUCUAUUCUUAUUGUUAUCAGUACUUGAUCAUAAAAUAACUUAUUUUGUCUUCCUUUUUAGGAACAGGACUAUCUCGACAGCUUGUUCUCCUUCGCCAUCGACAUUUCUGAGGAUGAAGGCGAGGAAGCAAGUUCUUCCCGAGGAGUUGGAAUCUCAUCGGUAGAGAUUAGAGCAAAGUUGGAAGAUUUGUCGGCCCUCCUUCAUCAAGAUACAGCCCAAUUGGUUGAUGACUCCGAUCCAGCUAAAGCCUUGUUCAAGGCUCUCAGAGGCCAAAUUCCUGCUGAUGCCGAGGAGAUCCUCUUCAAGGCUACUCACUUGGAGAGUCGGCAGCUUCAGUAUCAAAAGGCCGCUCAGCGCCUUGCCGAUAGAGCUACCCACGCCCAGCUCUCAGAAGAGAUGAUGGAAGUAAAGCUCCUUGCCAAUGAAAAGCACAAGAGCAUCGGCAUUUUGAAAUCCUUAAGAGACAUACUAAAGCAAAAGAUUUAUGAUCUAUCGGCACAGAGAGAAGCCCUAUUGGCAGAACUCAAGCAAGUAGAAGAAGCUCAACAGGAAGAAAGCCAGCUGCCUGAAGCAAUCAAGACUCUUGACGAGGAGCGAAACAUCUAGGCCCGCAAGGCACUGCAGAUGAAGAAGAAACUGAAGCCAGUGGUGGGCUCUGCUGAUGACGACAUGAAAGAGAUAGAAGAAGCCGGUCAGAUUCGUCUGCGCGCCAUAUCAACGAUCCAGGCUCUGUUAAACAUGUGAACUCUUCAUCGGUGGCAUAUUUUGCUUCUUUCUUUUAAAGCACUUCCGAUCACUUUGGUCUAGCCGAUAGGACUUGUCGAGGGUAUCAGUAAGGGGUACCCUCACCGAUGUGCAUUACGAGAUUGCCCGUACGCAGGUCGCGGCACUCAAUUCGACGCUCUGGUCUUACGUGUGCGCUGCCAUCGACGGCUGCAACCUCGAAGAUGGAAAUAGCGUCGAGCGAAUCGAUCAGGCGUCGAGCGCUGGUUACCGUCGAAUACGAAACAGGCUCACUCGAACCAGGAGGCGUCGAGCGCAAAGACGCCGCCCGCCGCCUGACGCGCGCACGCGAGCCGGGGCAUUAAAUGCGCCUGACGCUUCCCCACCUAACACACAGGUCACGGGAGGCGUGAUAGGGAACAGGCAUCUGUCCCAUCGAUCUUUUUGCAGGCUUUCGGCCGAACGGCCCAGGGCAUGUCAGGGCGUGGGAAACAAGGAUGGGACAUCUAAUCGGGACCCCAUCGAGACAUUCAAGGUCAGCGCUCCGGAUAUCGUCACAGUACAUGGCGUCCGACCCUCGACCGAACAAGGUUCCUUCCUAGGGACGUGUGGAGCGUCGACUGAUAACACCAUAACUACCCCGCCGGAUCUGCCGCUCUACCGUACGAGCAUGCGACCGUUGAGCCAGCACAAGACGGCGCACAGAGCAGAAUGCAGGGGCACGCGUAAUCAUCACCAGGCUAUUAAGACGGGACAGCUCGAAGUCAUGCCGGUACGGAAGCCUCGAGUAGGUCAGCGCUCCAUGCUGCUACCGACCCCAACUCUGACGUCUACGCAUGUACCUUAAGUCACUCCUUGGAACUAUAAAAGGAGAGACUCAGGAAUAGAACACCAGGCAAUACUACACACAUACGCAGUAGGGCUCACACACUUCAUACCACGCUUGUAUUCACCCCUGUACAAGCACUUAGGUGCAAGAUAAUACAAGCCUCUCCCCCCUGGACGUAGGGCCUUCUCUUGCCCGAACCAGGAUAAAUCUUUGUGUCUUCUUGCAUCACCAUCUGGGAAAGGGAGCACGCAUACAAAUUUACUCGUUGGUGUGACCCCCCGUGGGGAAGACACCGACAGUUGGCGCGCCAGGUAGGGGUCCUGCGUGUGUUUCAUUGGUUUCCCACUCCUUUCCAGAUGGCAGCUCUUGCCUCGCCGAUUCCGCGCUCCACGGUGAUUUGGUUUGGGAGUCUCGAGUUCAUGUCUACGGGCUCCGGCUACGACAUGAUCUUGCUCUCAGUCAAAGGACCGGGAGGAGCCCACGUUGCACCAGCUCAGUUGAGGGCCCCAAGACACCCUCGCCACCACGCCUCCGCGCCCAAGAAGAAGCGCGGACAGCACCACCGCCGCCCCUCUGCCUCAUCACGACCGGCAACUCGUGCGAGGCAGGAGGUGGACCGCGAGCCGGCAACACCAUGCGCCGGAACCGCAGGCACGACGGCUCAACAUCGCACGACGACGGGAGGGGACGCGUCUCGCGCGCCCUCCCCCACCGCUACUAAACUACUUCCACGCGGGUUGUCCACUCCAAGAAGGGCACUGCCAUUCGGAUUGGACAACGCCGCGGCGUCGCUCGCCAGAGCAAUAUGCCCAAAUGCUCAGAUGAACGUGGAGAGACCAAUGGUCCUCCCACGUGACUCCGAGACAUUACGGCCGACAUCCGAACUGCCGGGUUUCUCCCAGGUGCGAGGCCUCCACCGCCUAGGCCCUGGGCGAUACACAAUCACCUCACUUAGGCAGCGGCUGCUGGAGGAGGGAUGUGGAUGCUUCUACGCCACCGAGCCGGACUCUGACUCCGAGACUGAUAGCUACGACCCUACAAGGGAAUGCUAUCACGUCGACUGAUAACACCAUAACUACCCCGCCGGAUCUGCCGCUCUACCGUACGAGCAUGCGACCGUUGAGCCAGCAUAAGACGGCGCACAGAGCAGAAUGCAGGGGCACGAGUAAUCAUCACCAGGCUAUUAAGACGGGACAGCUCGAUGUCAUGCCGGUACGGAAGCCUCGAGUAGGUCAGCGCUCCAUGCUGCUACCGACCCCCACUCUGACGUCUACGGAUGUACCCUAAGUCACUCCUUGGAACUAUAAAAGGAGAGACUCAGGAAUAGAACACCAGGCAAUACUACACACAUACGCAGUAGGGCUCACACACUUCAUACCACGCUUGUAUUCAACCCUGUACAAGCACUUAGGUGCAAGAUAAUACAAGCCUCUCCCCCCCGCUGGACGUAGGGCCUUCUCUUGCCCGAACCAGGAUAAAUCUCUGUGUCUUCUUGCAUCACCAUCUGGGAAAGGGAGCUGGCACACAAAUUUACUCGUUGGUGUGACCCCCCGUGGGGAAGACACCGACAGGACUGUUAUCGGCACCCUUUUAAAACAUUAAGUCUGGCCCCAGAUACACUUUAAUCCAGCCAAUAGGAAUGUUAUCGGCACUUAAACUUUCAUGCAUCAAGCCAUAUGCUGGGACAAUAUCUCUUCAAAUAUUUGCCAUUCAAUGCCCUGGGAAAUUCAACUCCUUCGAGAGUUUCUAGAAUAUAAGCAUUGCUAGGAGCAUAUCGAUUUAUCCGAUAGGGACCCUCCCAAUUGGGAUACCACUUCCCAAAUUUUGAACUUUUAGUCCAGAUCGGUAAAAUUAGUUUCCAUACUAAGUCUCCAUCGGCAAACUCCUUAACCUUUACCUUUUUAUCAUACCAUCUGGCAACUCUCUUCUUAUUUUCUUCUAUACUUAUCAAAGCCCUUAGCCGAUGCUCUGCUAAAUCAUCCAACUCAUCUUUUAUCAAAGCAGCAUAGUCAUCGGCAGUCAAUUGAUCUUGAAAAGAUAGCCGCCUAGAUCCAGUCUUAAUUUCCUAGAGUAGCACUUAAUCAUGCCCAUACACCAAUUGAUAAGGUGAAACUUUGGUCGACCCAUGACAAGCCAUCCGAUAUGACCAUAAAGCUUCAUUCAACAACGUAUACCACCUCCUAGGAUUUUCUUCAAUCUUCCGUUUAAUAAGUUUGAUAAUUCCUUUGUUAGAUGCCUCGGCCUGCCCAUUAGCUUGAGCAUAAUAAGGAGAGGAAUUUAACACUUUAAUUCCCAUACUGAUUGCAAACUCAUCAAACUCCCCUGAUGUAAACAUGGUACCCUGAUCGGUAGUAAUUGUUUGAGGAAUACCAAAUCGGUAAAUAAUAUACUCUUUCACGAAAGCAAUCAUGUUGGCCGAUGUGACUUUCUUCAAAGGAAUAGCUUCAACCCACUUGGUGAAAUAAUCGGUGGCAACCAAGAUAAACUUAUGUCCUUUGCUAGAUGGCGGAUAAAUCUGGCCGAUCAAGUCAAUAGCCCAUCCCUGGAACGGCCAGUGUUUGAUAAUGGGAUUCAUGGCCGAUGCGGGUGCUCUUUGAAUGUUGCCAAAUUUCUGACAUCCUUGACACCCUUUGAAAUAUUUAAAACAAUCCUCCAGUAUGGUUGGCUAGUAAUACCCAUUUCUCCUAAUCAUCCACUUCGUCUUAAAAGCCGAUUGAUGUGCUCCACACACUCCUUCAUGGAUUUCUCUCGUUAAACUUUUAGCCUCAUCAUCAACUAAGCAUUUGAGAAGAACUCCAUCAAUUGUUCGAUAAUAUAAUUCAGCUUCGAGGAGCACAUACUUGGUGGCUUGAAACCGAACACGUCUCUCGACUUUCUUGGAUGGAUCCUUUAAAUAAUCAACGAUUUCUUUUCUCCAAUCAUCGGCACUAAUUGCCGAUAUUGUGUUUACUAUGGGUUGAUAUCCCGAGGCAUGCUGAGCCAACCGAUUAGCCUCCUCAUUAUGUAACCGAGGAAUAUGCUCUAAUUGGAAAUCUUUAAAUUCCCUUAACAAUUGCAUACUCUUUUCAUAAUAAGUUAUCAGGACUUCGCUUCGGCAUUCGUAGCUUCCAGCCAAUUGAUUUAUAAACAGCAUAGAAUCCCCGAAGACUUCAACAGCGUCAGCAUGGACUUCUCUUAACAAUUCCAACCCCUUUAUCAAACCUGAUACUCAGCUUGUUUAUUUGUUGACGUGGCAACAAUCGGCAAGGAGAACUCAUACUUCCUUCCCUAAGGGGAAAUUAACACUAUGCCGAUUCCUGCCCCCCGGUCACACGCGGAUCCAUCAAAGAAGAGCGUCCAAGGCACGAUUUCCAAAGUUUCUACUACACCACAAUGCUGAGUCACAAAGUCGGCCAUAGUCUGUCCUUUAACCGCUUUAGCCGAUUCGUAUCGCAGAUCGAAUUCCGACAGUGCCAAAAUCCAUUUACCGAUCCUGCCACUCAUGAUCGGCAUAGAUAGCAUAUACCGGACCACAUCAUCUUUGCAUAUAACAGUGCAUUCGGCCGAUAGUAAAUAGUGCCUCAACUUAAUACAUGAGAAAUAUAGGCAUAAACAUAACUUUUCAAUGGCCGAAUACAUGGUCUCAGCAUCAACCAAUCUCCUGCUUAAAUAGUAAAUCACACGCUCUUUCCCUUCAAAUUCUUGAAUUAAAGCCGAACCGAUGACCAACCCAUCGGUAGAUAAAUAUAAUCUGAAGGGCUUUCCUUGCUGAGGUGGAAUCAGAACCAGAGGAUUUAUCAAAUAAUUCUUGAUUUCUUCUAAAGCCAACUGUUGCUCUUUCCACCAUACGAACUCUUGAUCGGCUUUCAAUUUGACUAAAGGACUGAAAACACGAAUUUUACCAGACAAGUUAGAUAUAAACCUCCUGAUAAAAUUUACCUUGCCGAUCAAGGACUAGAGCUCAGUUUUGUUGGUAGGAGCAACUAUUUUGUUGAUAGCAUCAAUGGAUCUCCUACUAAUUUCAAUCCCUCUUUGAUGCACCAUGAAACCAAGCAAUUGUACUGCCGAUACACCAAAUGCACACUUAUUGGGAUUCAUCUUUAAACCAUGCUUCCUUGUGCAUUCCAACACUUUUCGUAAAUCGGCAAGAUGCUUUAUGAAAUCUCCAGACUUAACCACCACAUCAUCAAUAUAAAUUUCCACCAGCUCGCCGAUGAACUCAUGAAAAAUAAAAUUCAUAGCUCUCUCAUAAGUAGCACCAGCAUUUUUCAAACCAAAGGUCAUGACUAUCCAUUCAAACAACCCAACAUGACCAGGACAUCUAAAUGCAGUCUUUGGAAUAUCUUCUUUAGCCAUGAAUAUUUGAUUAUACCCUGCAUUGCCAUCCAUAAAGCUUAUGAUCCGAUGCCCAGCCGCAACAUCAACCAGUAGAUCGGCAACUGGCAUUGGGUAACCAUCGAUCAGCGUAGCUUUAUUAAGAUUCCUGAAAUCAAUGCAAACCCAAAGCUUUCCAUUUUUCGUGUAAACUGGAACAACAUUGGAAAUCCACUCGGCAUACCGACACUGCCGAAUAAAUUUAGCUUCGAUAAGUUUGGUUAUUUCGGCCUUAAUAUCAGGAAGAAUAUUAGGAUUACAUCGGCGAGCUGGCUGUUGAUGUGGCCGAAAUCCAGACUUGAUGGGUAACCGAUGUUCAACAAUCGAUCGGUCAAAACCAGACAUCUCAGUAUAAUCCCAAGCAAAGCAAUCUUUAUAUUCCUUUAACAAAUCGGUUAACUGCUGCUUACACUCAGAAUUUAACUUAGCACUAAUAAAAGUAGGUCUAGGCUUAUCACCACUACCUAUAUCUACCUCUACCAAAUCAUCGGCCGAUGUGAAUCCCUGGCCUAAUUUUCCAUCAUCGGCGAAUCUAUCCAUUAAAACUCCUCAUCAGAACCGACUGCUUGGAUCGGUGGAAUUUCAUAAUCGGCAACUUUGAGGAAAUCCUUCUCCCAAAUCUCUCCCGAGAUACACCUAGUCCUCUCAUUGGUAUCUGCCUCUGCCGAUGCGAUGACAUAGGAAGAAUCUCUCUGGACAAUCUCAAUCUUGUCACCUACCCACUGAACCAAGCUCUGGAGCAUUGUAGAUGCGAUGCAACAAUUGGCAUGAAUCCAGUCUCUCCCUAGCAGCAAAUUAUAAGCACCUUUUCCAUUGAUCACAAAGAAGGUUGUCAGCAAGGUUUUGCUGCCAAUGGUCAGCUCGACGCAGAUUGCCCCCUUAACCGGAGACACAUUCCCUUCAAAGUCUUUCAACAUCAUAUCGGUCUUGGUCAAAUCUUGAUCUCCUUUUCCAAGCUUCUGAUAGACUGCAUACGACAUGAUGUUAAUAGCAGCCCCACCAUCAAUUAAUAUCUUGGUCAUCGGCUGACCAUCAACUCUUCCUUUGACAAACAGAGCUUUAAGAUGCUGCCUUUCAUUGUCGGCAGGCUUUUCGAAGAUAGCUGUCAUCGGAUCUAGAGCCAACUGAGCUAUCUGGUCGGAAAACUCCAACUCCUCAUCAUCACUGGAUGGCGCAAGGAACUCCAUCAGCAACAUAAAUACCACGUUAACAUCUGCCGAUGGCCCUUUCCCCUUAGGAUCCGGUUGUUGCUGAUCCCCAGACUGGCCAGAAUCCUCACCUUUGUUCAGCUCUUCUCGUCUUUCGUGCUGCAGUCUCCUUUUGAGUCCUAGUCAAUCCCUCUGGACACCAUGGAGGAAGUUGUGGCUGCCUUGCCGAUGGACGACGAUGUUCCCUUGACUCCAUCCGAUAAGUUUUAGCAUCCCUACAGAAUAUGAACUCAUCAGGAACUCAUGCAUUAGCCAUAUCUUCAAGCUCUUCCUGGUUCCUAGGAAAAUAUUCAACGCAAUCACCAAGCCUGUCGUGUACACUGAGUCUGCCCCCCAGCCGAUCAUGAAUUGACGCUUUUCCCCUAAUCGGCCUAUUAAAUCGCCGAUCAUCAUCGUGAUAGCGUCGAUCGGAUCUGUCAUACCGAUCAUAACUAUUGCAUUCAAGGCAAUCUCUAAUAGUGGGCAACUUGAUGUUCUGUUCCCAGCAAUGGAUAAAGAAUGGGCAGUCCCAGUGAUCUCUGUGCCGAUUCCUAUCGACGUCUUUCUUCUUCCCGAUGAUAGUCUUCCUACUGGCACCGAUGCCGAUCUUCUCGUUGCUGCCAAGUCUCCCAAGGACUUCUAUGAGUUAUCACAACACCAGAUCGGGGAGGCCUUCCCGAGUUAGUUCCCUCUUAGAUCAAGCCUUUUCCUUUGGCAUCGGUAGCAGUAAUAUGAUGCUGACGAUCUACCGAUGCACUUCAUUCAGCUGCUUCCGACGUCAAGACCUUGGUCUUUCCCUUAGCAUCUAACAUAUUUGUGGGGAAAGGAUGUUGAUCGAUCUUCAUCGGCUUCUGAGCUUUGGGACUAACAAACUUGAUUCUCCAAAAUUCUAUAGCCGAUUGCAGCUGUUGCCUAAAAACCUUGCACUCAUUGGUGCUAUGAGAAGUUGCGUUAUGCCACUUGCAAUACUUCAUCUUCUUCAAUUCCUCAGCCGAUGGAAUCACAUGAUUGGGUGACAACUUGAUCUGGCCUUCCUGCAGUAGAAAAUCAAAUAUCCUAUUGGCUUUGGUAACAUCAAAUGCGAACUUGUCUGGCUCUUUAUGUCCAAAAGGGCAAGACAUCGGCUUCUUAUUUUUCACCCACUCUGCCAAGCCGAUGACUGGCUCUUCAUCAGAAUCCGAGCUUGCUGCUUCAUCGACAAAUGACACCUUUUUAUUCCAAGCUCUCUUGGGUUCAAAAGGUUUAAUAUCUUGGUCAGAAAUCCUCUGCACCAUGUGACUCAAACUUUCAAACUCUUGAGAAGCGUACUUGUCUCUGAUAUGUGGCAACAAACCCUAAAAAGCCAAAUCGGCUAGCUGCCGAUCGUCCAGAACCAGACUAUAGCACUUGUUCUUAACUUCUCGCAACCUUUGCACAAAGCUUUCAACCGAUUCAUCAUUGUGUUGUUUCAAUCUGACCAAAUCGGUGAUCUUCUUCUCAUGGACUCCAGAAAAGAAGUACUUGUGGAACUGCUUCUCCAGAUUGGCCCAAGUAAUCACUGAAUUAGGAGGCAACAAUAUAAACCAAGUGAACGCCGAUCCAGACAACGAUGAUAAGAACAACCGAACCCUUAACUCAUCUCUGUUCGCAGCUUCCCCACAUUGAAUGAUGAACCUAUUGACAUGCUCCAUGGUCGAUGUGUCAUCCUACCCAGAAAACUUUGUGAAAUCUGGUACCUUGUACUGAUUUGGAACUGGAAUUAAAUCAUAUGUAGGAGGAUACGGUGUUCGAUAAGAGUAAGUGUUGACUUUGGGUUUUAUCCCAAAUUGGUCCCUCAUUACUUCAGCAAUCUUAUCGGCCCAAUAAGCAUCGGCAUCUUGCUGAUGGGGUGGUUGUGGAUCUGGCACCUGCUGAUACACUUCCACGUGUCGCGAGGCGCACGAUCUGCAUGGAACAUGGGGUUGAUCGUCUGACCACCAAACUAUUGACCAAGAUUCAUCGGCUGGAUGGCCAACCCUUGAUUCUGGAAUCCAGGCUGGACCUGGCUUUGUUGAAACCCUAGAGCCUGAUGAUUUUGUUGAGGCAUCUGUGGAAAAACUGGCUGCCCUAUCCAUCCAUUGUUGGCAUUCAUCGGCAUGAACCCUACCGAUGGCUGAAGAUUAUCCAUCAUCAUUGAAUUGACAUACCCUGGCUGAGUCAUAAACCUCUGUUGCGUCGGCAUUGAAUCUGCCGAUGUGUUAGGCAUCUGGAACGUUGGAGCUUGAGAAUUCCCAAUGUAAGGUCUCGUAGUAGUAGUUGUAUUAUACUGGGGACUCUGAUUCAUUGGUAGAUUUGGAGGUGCCAAUGCCAUAGGAGCCUUUCCUGUCAUAUCAGCCACUUGAGAUGUUCUAUGCGUCUUCAACAUCAUCUCCGGGGGCAUACCAUAACCCCACCAGUUGGGAGGGACAGACCCCGACAUUGCCGAUGCCAAUAGAUCUGUGGCAAGCUUGAUUUGCUCAUCUAAAGUUGAUGGAUUGGUUGUCAUCGGUGUAGAUUGCACAUUAGUGAGUCCUAGUGUGCUUGGAGGAGUAGUAGUUUCUGUACCCGCAGCAGCCAUAGUAGCCGAUGGAGCUGUGACAACUGGUGAUCCUGGCUGAUGAUAGAUAGGGCCCACAUAAUUCGGUGGCAAUUGUCCUUCCUUAAAAGUUCUAGCCACAGCGUUGAAAACCAUGUUGGACAGCACACCAGCUUGGUUGAUCAAGGCACGGUUGAUAGCAUUGUCGACCAUGUCUUGGAGUUUACCAGGAUUAGUUUCAAAAGUGACCUGCCGAGGCACCGGCAGUGCUUCCUUCUAGAUUACUUCGCCGCUCCUGUUGAUACUGAAGGACUUCAAACAUUGCUGUUUGUAGUCCUCCAUAGCUUUUGCAAUAGCUUGCUUCUGCUCAUCUCUGAGAUUGGCUUCCGUCACAGGGAUGACGUUCUCGGGGUCGAAAUCAGUAUUUGACAUGUUGAUCUUGAUCUUGAACUUGUCCCACUGGGCAUGCCAAAAGAUGUGUUGGUGCAAAAGCAGAUCUGCAAACACAAAGGGCUAAUACCUGAUUCAAACGUUAAGGCGUGCUAGCCGAUUUGACCUUACUAUCGGCAAAGGUGAUAACUCGAACACUUUGGUCCCGACAAUAGCGAUGGCCCGAUGUCACGGCCAAGAGGUAUUCACGCGGAACUCGAGAAUACACCGAGCUAAAGUCGACGAAUUCCUAAGAACUCGUAGUAAAAAGGAAAAUAUGACGAAGUCGUCGAAAAAAGUAGAUGCUGGAAUAUGAGUAAAAACUUGUGUUUUUAUUGAUUGAUCGAUUCUCAUUACAAGGCCCUAGGGUCUACAUUUAUAUCCUGCUCAAAGAGCUACAAUCAGACACGACUAGGACUCAAAUUCCAAAUUAAAUAGAAUCCGAAUACAAAACGAAUUUAAAUAACUAAGGAAAACAUGGAACUACCCCCUUGUAACCAACCGGGACAUCACCACAGAUCAAUCGGCAAUCUCCACGCUUUCCUUUAGAGUCAUCGGCAGACUUCGUAUUAUGGCCAUCGGCGAACACUGAUAUUGAUCAUCGGUAAGAACACGUCACCACCCCUGGACUUAGUCACAUUCAAUAGUCUCUUCAUCGGCAACUAUCCUCAUCGGCAACUCUUCUGCAGACUAGUUACCAUUGCUCCACAUGCCGAUCUAUACUUUACUAGUCCCUAGGUACGUGUCCAAAAAUAGUGUCAACAGGUGAUAACAAUGGUGAAAGUCUAAUUCUACUUUUGCUCUUUUAAGGAGAUACAUACCUUUCUUGCUCUUUUGAAUCUUUUGGGGAGAACGAGAUGCUCUAUAUUUUAGUUUUCUUUCCUCUCAGGUGGGUAUCUUGUACCCCUAAUUAUACUAUCAGACACUUGUCAAUUUUUACCUCUCGUCUCACUCUUUCUUUUCUUUCGAGGUUCCGGGCACAUGCCCCUUUUUGUUUCCUCGUAUUUUGUUUUCUCUUUUUUUCGAGCACUCAUCUCCUAAAAUAAUAUAGCAAGUGGCAGUAACCAAGAUAACUUGAGUAUUUAUUUCAUAGGGGAAAACAUAAAUGUUUUUGGCUAUUCUAUCCCGGAUUAGGAGUAGAAUACUUUUGGGUGGUUGUGGAGAUGGUAAUAAGUGGAUAUAUGUGGAUGCAUACUUUCGGAGUAGAAGCAACAUGUGUGAGUGAACGUGCAAGUGAAUCAUGAUUUAACCACAUGACAAGCUCCUAAGGGUCUACAUAGCUUGACCACACUUAAUGCUCAUAAGCAGUAAAAAGUAAAAGUGUGGCUCAAAGUCUAGCAAGCAUGUAUAUAUGGCUGUGGUAGGUAUUUAAACUCUCAUCAUACAGAAACUCAUUGUUGACAUUUGGGAACGCAAUAAGGAAUUGAUCCGCAAGCGCACGGAUAUCGGUGAGCACUUCACCCGGGAUGUUAUCCAGAGUAUCGUAUUUAUAUUUUUACCACUAGGAGAAAGAGUGCAUCUGACUAACUCGGUAUAUUACUACUAACCUUUAGGCUACAAGUCGAUGUGAGUGAUAUAUAGAGAAGACUACAACCAUAAUCUCUUUCUAACCUUGGUAAGGAUAAUCUACUGUUCUGUUGGGGAGGCUCACAGAAUCUAGACACCAAAGAGGAUGUUCCACCCCCACCUAUAAACCCUAUCGAUCCUACUAACGGGAUAUGGGCUGCAAAGUUAACUCAGAAAUGUCACGUUCCUCGCUACUACCACAGUCCAGCUGGUCAGGGGAUAUCUAUGAGUAUCCUAGCCCAAACACCAUGUUUACGCUAGCGAUGAUUACUCUAAACUCUACACGAAGAGAUUAAAGUAAACUCAUAAACCAAAGAACAGUAAAACAAUAACUUACUAGUAUUUAGAAGUCGAAAUACAGAAGAAUCCUAGGAGCAAGCUUCGUGUUAGGAGAACUUGAUCUCGCAGGUACAACCUCGGAGUAGACACCGACACGCCGGGCUUCCUCUGAUCUACACCUCCACUUUAUCUCUCUCAAUCUAGUAGAUCUAGUCUACUCUCACAUUAGAUGCUAAGCCCUAAGUCUAUUUAGAGGAAAGGUUAUCCUUCGAGGGCACCUCUCAACUCUAUGAUGAACUCGUUCUCCUCCAGGGGCCAGGGGGUCUGCUUAUAUAGUCCCCACAGGUGAACGUAGGCCGUCGGAUCAAACCGACAUUGAUUGAACGGUUAUCCUUGAUCCUGUAGGUCGGUGGAGCACGAUCUGAGAGAUUGGCUCCGAUUGGUGGAACAACCAGGGCGGGCACCCUAGGGAGGAGGCCCUGGCCCGAUCGCCUUCCCGUUCGUUCCCGUGGCUUCUGGAGUCUUCUUGAUGUUAGAAAAUUGCACGGUGCGUUAAUAUCUCUAUGUAAUCCCAACAUGUGGGCGUUUCUUCCUUAUUUUCUGAUAACCCCCUGCAGAAACAGAUAAACCACAAAACUUGUGGAAUUCUAUCAGAUCAAACCCUAAUUCUAGGUGUUGUUUGUAUAUUGGUCCUUUCCCUUGUUUAUUUGAUAAUUAAAAUUGAUACUUAAGAACCGUCAACAAAUACCCCCAUACUUAGGCUUUUACUCGUCCUCGAGAAAAGGAUGGUUAAGAAAAAAAAUCUGGGGUUAAAACAUUGUUGGUGCAAAAGCUAAUCUGCAAACACAAAGGGCUAAUACCCGGUUCAAACGUUAAGGCGUGCCAGCCGAUUUGACCUUACUAUCGGCAAAGGUGAUAACUCGAACACUUUGGUCCCGACAACAGCGUUGCGCCCGGAUGUCACGGCCAAGAGGUAUUCACGCGGAACUUGAGAACACGCCGAGCUUAAGCCGACGAAUUCCUAAGAACUCGUAAUGAAAAGGAAAAAGUAUGACGAAGUCGUCGAAAAAGUAGAUGCUGGAAUAUGAGUAAAAACUUGUGUUUGAUUGAUUGAUAGAUAUCUUCAUUACAAGGCCCUAGGGUCUAUAUUUAUACCCUGCUCAAAGAGCUACAACCAGGCAUGACUAGAACUCGAAUUCCAAAUUACACAGAAUCCGUAUACAAAAUGAUUUAAAUAACUAGGGAAAACACAAAACUAUCCUUCCGUGACAAACUGGAACACCUCCACAAACCGAUCGGCAGCCUCCAGGUUCUCCCUCCAUAUCAUCGGCAUACUCCCUUGUCAUCGGCAGACUCCCUUGUCGUAGCCAUCGGUACAGACACAUUAUCACCCAUGGGCUUAAUCGCACUCGACCCCUCCUCCAUCGGCAACCAUCCUCAUCAGCAACUCAUCCUACAGAUUAAACACCACCGUCUUCUCUUGUCGGCCUAUACUUUACCAAACAUGGACACGUGCCCAAAAAUGGCGUCAACACAUGCCCCCCAAUUUCGGAGUAUGAAAUCAUUAAUGCUCCGAAAUUCUCUACAACAAUGAUGCCCCGUUUCCGCAAUUAAUGCCUCUAAUCUGGUAACCGACAGCCUUAAUCUGAACAACUCUGAUCUGAUUCUCCCGCAGAUCCCUCGAAAUCUUCAACUCCUCAAACGGGCAUUUCCAUUUUAGUUGCUGUUGGUGCAAAAGUUAAUCUGCAAACACAAAGGGCUAAUACCCGAUUCAAACGUUAAGGCGUGCCAGCCGAUUUGACCUUACUAUCGGCAAGGGUGGUAACUCGAAUACUUUAGUCCUGACAACAGCGAUGCUUCCGGAUGUCACGGCUAAGAGGUACUCACGCGGAACUUGGGAACGCGCCGAGCUUAAGUCGACGAAUUCCUAAGAACUCGUAAUGAAAAGGAAAAAGUAUGACGAAGUCGUGGAAAAGUAGAUGCUGGAAUAUGAGUAAAAACGUGUGUUUGAUUGAUUGAUAGAUGUCUCAUUACAAGGCCCUAGGGUUUAUAUUUAUACCCUGCUCAAAGAGCUACAUCCUGACACGACUAGAACUCGAAUUCCAAAUUACACAGAAUCCGUAUACAAAACGAUUUAAAUAACUAAGGAAAACAUAAAACUAUUCCGCCGUGACAAACUGGAACACCUCCACAAGCCAAUCGGCAGACUCCCUUGCCGUAGUCAUCGGCAGACUUCCUUGUUGUAGUCAUCCGCAGACUUCCCUGUCGUAGCCAUCGGCACAGACACAUCACCACUUAUGGACUCAGUCACGUUCAACCCCUUCUCCAUCGGCAACCAUCCUCAUCGGCAACUCAUCCUGCAGAUUAAACACCGUCGUCUUAUCUUGCCAGCCUAUACUUCACGAAACAUGGACACGUGCCCAAAAACAGGGUCAACACAUGCCCCCCAAUUUCGUAGUAUGAAAUCAUUAAUGCUCCGAAAUUCUCUGCAGUAAUGAUGCCCUUUUCCGCAAUUAAUGCUCCUAAUUUGGUAACCGACAACCUUAAUCUGAACAACUCUGAUCCUAUUCUUUUGCAGAUUCCUCGAAACCCUCAACUUUCCAAACGGGCAUCUCCAUUUUAGUCGCACAUCGGCAAUAUUGCCGUUACAAAGACUUGCCGAUGGACUGACCAGGAUGUUCGUACCUUAUCUUCUCAAACGGCUAUCUUCACUUUAUUCGCUCAUCGGCAAUAUGACCGUUACAAAUACUCUGCCGAUGGACCGACCAGGAGAUCCCGCACAGUAAAAUAUCUCUGGAUAAUGACCGCUUCCUGUCAAAUCACCUGCACAAUCCCUUGAUUACCGUGCGAACAGUUACCAUAUCUACUCGAGCACCCUCGGAUUUCACGGAUGCGGCAAAGAGAUAAGUCAGAUUUGCCCUUGCCCGUUUUGUCCUAUAAAUAGUUCCUUCUUGGGUACUCCUUCCCCAUCACAUCAUUCCACAACUCCAACUUUACUUUCCCGGCGGCGGAGCUAUACAAAAGCUCCAAGAUCCCCGACGAAGCCCCUUCUUCGCCAACUCCGAAGCUCUCAAGCACCUCCUCCAUGGUAAAAUGGCCGUCAACUUCAUCAUCCCCGAGGUCAGUCCUUCGCACCGUCUCUGGUACUUUUCCUCGCACCCCUGUUCAUUCGCGAUCCAUUUUACUGAACAUUUUCUCUCCCCUUUUUUCUGUGUUUUUCUUUUCCACCUCCAAAACCAUUAGGAAUCGGCUAACAAAAUUGUCAUCCCCACUAAUCGACCACACCUCCAAUGCCUUGGCCCACUAGGGGAUCCAGAUCCAACCAACCUUAUAAACGUAGAAACCAACAGGAUCCCUUUUAGAGCAGAGAAUUUUUCUUUGGAUCUGUGGAAGGAUACUUUUCGUUCCUGGCCCAGCCCCACCGUGGGGUUUAAGGACUGGUUUUUGAGGGUCAGCAACUCCAAUGAAAUCCAGUGGGGCGGGAGAAAGCUAGACCAAUGCAUUAGGCUGUCCAUUGCCGAUAUGCAUAAGAAUGAGUCACUGUUGAUAGCUGCAUCCUAUUUCUGGUCAGACACCCUUAAUGCCUUUGUCUUCGGCCAUGGCCCUGCUUCCCCUACACUUGCUGAUGUAGCUAUGCUCACUGGCCUGGAUGUUUCUUCUGCCGAUAGCACCCACUUUUUUGAUACCAAACCCAGUGCUAAGGUAGAAACUCGCUCCAUCGGCGGCUGGUCAGGGUAUAUCCAAAAAUACCGCAAAACAGGCCCUGUUGUCAUAAAGGAGCAGACCUGCUUUCUGAACAUGUGGCUAGAUAAAUUCGUGUUUUGUGGUCGAUCGGCAGGACCAACUUCUGUUUAUCUAGCAGCAGCAGAAAAUCUGCCAAUGGUGGCCGAUUUCCCCUUGGCCGAUACCUGCUUGGAGCAGCCUAUCACCUCCUCCACCAAGUAACUAAGAAGCUCUUGCUUGGCCAGUCUAUCGGCAACUUGGGAGGCCCCUGGUGGUUUAUCAAUAUGUGGCUUAAUCUGCAUCUGCACAAGCGCCUCGAAUUUAACCUGUUCACACAGCGUUUCCCAAGGGACAUAGCUGAAAACCAUGUGUUGAGUGAAGAGAAAUCGGCAACACGUGCUCCCUUAAACUUCGGUGAAGCUGUCAUAGUCCUGCCUGGUUCAGGGGGUAAUCCAGAUCAGGUCAGCCGAUUCUUCCAAACUUUAAAUGAGGGUUUGGCCAGAGAUGAGCGAGCAUGGUUGGCCUACGAUGACCCAGACAGUAUGCUUCCCCUGGUUUUCAACCCAUUCAAUGAAGCUCUUGACAAGGACAACGAAGUGAUGAUGGCAAUGGUGACUCCCAGAGCCAUACCAGUGAAUUUCUUUGGUAGUGGGAAAACCUCCCCCCAGACUUAUGAAUUUUACAACCCAUCGGCACUAGCCCGUCAGUUAGCUUUCGGCCAGCUGCCGAUUGCACUUUGUUAUGCCGAUGUGAUAAAGCCCAGGGAAACCAUCACCAGUCUUCUUGAAUGGAUUCGAGUAGCCCAACUGCCAUCGAGUGCCGAUACAGAUGUAGAUUUAUCGAAGUGGGUUCCAGCCGCCUUCAUCACUCAAGCGUACAAGCAGUGGUGGGCAGAAUGGAAGGAGCAUCUGUUCUGCAAAUCGGCCCUCACGUACCGCGGUAUGAUUGACCCUGAGUACGAAGUUCCCAAUGAUGCUGUAAGUGUCUUCAAACUGAUAUUUCAAUUCUCUCAAUUUGGUUUCCAUCGAUGAUUUACUUUUGUACUAUUUUGCAGGUUGAUGAUACCCCUCCAUCGGUCAGCAAAAGUGGCAAGCCAAUUGAUCUAUUUGCAUCAGGCCCAAUCUCUUCAAUCGGCCACAACGCCCCUACCCUGGCUGCCAUCGUGCAUCGAGGUAUACGCCUCAGGAAAGUUACCACUAGGAGAACACAAACUCCACCAUCGGUAGCUGCUUCUACUCUAGCAUAGGCUUUUAAGGUAGCUGUUAACCCUCUUCAUUUAUACCAAUCUUACCUUCAUAUCGGCUAUAUUUGUAUUCACAAAUUCCUCUUUGUUGUUACAGCAAACCAGUGCAUCGGCAAAAACCAAGAGCCAAGGUGCCGAUGUCCCCCAGUCCAGCCGGCAGAAGAGAAAGGGUGCCAAAAGUACCAGGGCAGAAACAAAGCGCCAGAAAGUGGCAACUCCUCCUCCUCCGGUAUCUCCCAUUCCGGUGGAAUCUUCUCCUUCUCCUCUAGACGUAGAGACUCAGCAAGCACCAUCUCCCCCUCAACCACAAGAAACACCAGAAGCAGAUGAACCCCAGCAAGAAGAACCCCAAGUAGAAGCACCCCAGCCAGAAGGCACGUCAGCCGAUAUAGGUGAGCAAACUACCGACCCGGUAGGUUCAAUCAUAUCAUCGGUAGUUCCCUCAAUCCAGACAAGCAUCGUCCCUUCUGUUGAUGCAAAACUGAUCUGCAAACACAAAGGGCUAAUACCCGAUUCAAACGUUAAGGCGUGCCAGCCGAUUUGACCUUGCUAUCGGCAAAGGUGAUAACUCGAAUACUUUAGUCCUCACAACAGCGAUGCGCCCGGAUGUCACGGCUAAGAGGUACUCACGCGGAACUUGAGAACACGCCGAGCUUAAAUCGACGAAUUCCUAAGAACUCGUAAUAAAAAGAAAAAAGUAUGACGAAGUCGUCGAAAAGUAGAUGCUGGAAUAUGAGUAAAAACGUGUGUUUGAUUGAUUUCUUGAUUGAUUAUUACAAGGUCCUAGGGUUUAUAUUUAUACCCUGCUCAAAGAGCUACAACCAGACACGAUUAGAAUUCGAAUUCCAAAUUACACGGAAUCCGUAUACAAAACGAUGCAAAUAACUAAGGAAAUAAUAAAACUAUCCUUCGUGACAAACCGAAACUCCUCCACAUGACAACUGGCAGCUUCCGGACUCCUCCUUCGCAUCAUCGGCAAUCCCCUUGCCAUAGUCAUCGGCAGACCUUUUUAUCCAGCCAUCGGCACCAUAUUACUGCCUGUGGACUUAGUCACAUUCAACCUCUCCCUCAUCGGCAACCAUCCUCAUCAGCAACCCGCAUCGUACUGCCACCCUAUCCUGCCAUCCUAGACACGUGCCCAAAAAUGGUGUCAACACAUGCCCCCCAGUUUCGGAGUAUAAAACUAUUAAUGCUCCGAAAUUCUCUGCAGUAAUGAUGCCUUCUCCACAAUUAAUGCUCCUAAUCUGGUAACCGACAACCUCAAUCUGGACAACUCUGAUCCUAAUCCUCCGCAGAUUCCUCAAAAUCCCCAACUUCCUAAACGGGCAUCUUUCUUGGUCGUACAUCGGCAACAAUACCGUUACAAAGAUCUGCCGAUGCUCUGACCAGGAUAUUCGCAAAAACGGUUACCUCCCCUCUAUCUGCCCAUCGGCAAGAUGACCGUUAUAGAAUAUCGCCGAUGGACCGACUAGGAGAUCCCGCACAGUAAAAUAUCUUUAGAUAAUGACCGCUUCCCGUCAAAUCACCUGCACAAUCCCUGGAUUACCGUGCGAACAGUUACCAAAUCCACCUGAGUACCCUCGGGCUUCUCGGAUGCGGCAAAGAGAUAAGUCGGAUUUGCCCUUGCCCAUCUUGUGCUAUAAAUAGUUCCUUCUUGGGUACUCCUCCCCCAUUACACCAUUCUACUAUCCAACUUUGCUUUUCCAGCGGCGGCGCCAUUUACAACCUUCAAGAUCUCCGACAAGCACUCCUCUUCAUCAACUCCGGUGCCCUCCAACGUCCUCUUCACGACAAGAUGGCCAUUGGCUUCGUCGUCCCUGAGGUCAGACUUCCAUCUCAUCUUCUAUGUAUAUUCCUAUUCAUCCGCGAUUCAUCUUACUGAAUAUUCCCCUUUUCCUUUUUCUUUGUAUUUUUAUUCCCCAAAAUCACUAGGAGUUGUCCAAUAAAAUUGUCAUCCCCACCGAUCAACCACACCUUCAAUGUCUCGGUCCUCUAGGGGAUUCAGAUCCAACCAAUCUUAUCAACGCAGAAACCAAUAGAAUCCCCUUUAGGGCUGAAAACUUUUCUGUAGAUCUAUGGAAAGACACUUUUCGUUCUUGGCCUAGCCCUACUGUAGGGUGGAAAGACUGGUUCUUAAGGGUCAGCAAUUCUUAUGAAGUCCAGUGGGGUGAGAGGAAGCUAGCUCAAUGCAUUAGGCUAUCCAUUGCCGAUAUGCACAGGAACGAGUCACUGCUGAUAGCUGCAUCCUACUUUUGGUCAGACACUCUCAAUGCUUUUGUUUUUGGCCACGGCCCUGCUUCUCCUACCCUUGCCGAUGUAGCCAUGCUCACUGAGCUAGAUAUAUCUUCUGCCGAUAGCACCCACUUUUUUGAUACUGCCCCCAGUGCCAAAGUGGAGACUCGCGCUAUCGGCGGUUAGUCAGGGUACAUCCAGAAGUACCGCGGGAGAGGGCCUGUCACCAUAAAGGAGCAAACCACCUUUCUGAACAUGUGGCUGGAAAAGUUUGUAUUCUGUGGUCGAUCGGCAGGACCAACUUCUGUCUAUCUAUCGGCAGCAGAAAGACUAGCUAGCGGUGGCCAAUUUCCUCUCGGCCGAUAUUUGCUCAGCGCUGUUUACCACCUUCUUCAUCAGGUAGCCCAUAAACUCCUGCUUGGCCAAUCCAUCGGCAACUUGGGAGGCCCCUGGUGGUUUAUUAAUAUGUGGCUCAAUCUGCACCUGCAUAAGCACCUUGAUUUCAACUUGUUCUCACAGCACUUCCCAAGAGAUAUAGCCGAAAAUCAUGUGUUGGGUGAAGAGGAAUCGGCAACGCGUGCCCCCUUGAACUUUGGCGAAGCCGUUAUAGUCUUACCCGGUUCAGGGAACAAUCCGGAUCAGAUCGGCCGAUUCUUCGAGACUCUGUAUGAGGGAUUGGCCAGAGAUGAACGACCAUGGUUGGCCUAUGAUGACCCAGACAGCAUGCUCCCUCUAACGUUCAAUCCAUUUGAUGAAGCUCUUGACAGGGAUAAUGAGGUGAUGAUGGCAAUUGUGACUCCCAGAGCCAUACCAGUGAAUUUCUUCGGUAGCACAAAAACCUCUCCCCAAACCUAUGAAUUUUACAAUCCAUCGGCAUUAGCUCGCCAGCUAGCUUUCGGCCAGUUGCCGAUUGCACUUCCUUAUGCCGAUGUGAUAAAGCCCAGAGAACCCAUCACCAACCUUCUCGAGUGGACUCGAGUAACCCAGCUACCACCAAAUGCUGAUACAGAUGUAGAUCUGUCAGAAUGGGUUCCAGCUGCCUUUAUCACUCAGGCAUACAAGCUAUGGUGGGCAGAAUGGAAAGAGAAUCUAUUCUGCAGAUCGGCCCUCUCAUACCGCGGCUUGAUCGACCCCGAAUACGAAGUCCCUGAUGACACUGUAAGUAUUUUAAACCGAUGUCUCAUUUUCCAAUACUAUUUCCAUCGGUAACUUAUCCCUGUAUUCCUUUUGCAGGUUGACAACACCCCCCCAUCGGUUAGCAGGAGUGGCAAGCCGAUCGACUUGUUCCCAUCAGGCCCGAUCUCCUCAAUCGGCCACAAUGCUCCCACUCUGGCUUCCAUCGUGCAUCGGGGUGCGCGCCUCAAGAAAGUUACCACCAGGAAAACUCAGACAUCGCCAACGGUAGCUGCUUCCACUCUAGCGCAAGCUUUCAAGGCAAUUUGCCAAACCCUUUUCAUUUAUGCUGACUAUCUUUGUAUCGGCUAUCUGUGCUCAUAAACUCCUUUUUGUUGUUGCAGCAAACUGGUGCAUCGGCAAAAGCCAAACGCCAAGGUACCGAUGCCCCCCAGUCUAGCCAGCCAAAGAGGAAGGGCACCCAAGGUGCUAAGGCUGGAACAAAGCGCCAGAAAGUGGCAACUCCCCCUCCUCCUCCGGUGUCUCCAAUCCCGGUGGAAUCUUCCCCUUCUUCUCCAGAAGUCCAGACACAGCAAGCACCAUCUCCCCAACCAAUGCAGGAAGCACCACAGAUGGAAGAACCCCAGCAGGAAGAACCUCAAACAGAAGGUACAUCAGCUGACGUGGGUGAACAAACAACUGGCCCGGCAGGUCCAGUUAUAUCAUCGGCGGUUUCCCCGAUUCAGACAACUGUUGUUCCUCCUCCGGGUAACAUAUUUCAACAAUACUUCCGCCGAUAAACUUAUUCUCAUUUAGUCUCAUAACCCUUCCUGUCUUCUUUCAGUCGAUAUCGUUCCAUCGGCAACAUUUGCCGAUCAACCUGUAGCUCCAUCGGUAUCUUUGAGUCAAAGGCAAGAAAUUGCCUUGAAACAAGUAAGUCAUCCAAUUUUUCCACCAGUAUCGUCUGCCGAAGCUUUGACCAUAAAAAUGACUUAUUUCAUUCUCAUUUUCAGGAACAAGAUUCUCCCGAUAGCUUAUUCUCCUUCGCCAUUGAUAUCUUCGAAGAAGAAGGUGAGGAAGCAAGCUCCUCUCGGGCAAUUGGGACUGUAUCGGCAGAAACUAGGGCUAAGCUGGAGGAGCUAUCGGCCAUACUUCAUCAAGACACAACUCAACUGGUCAACGAUUCUGAGCCAGCCAAGGCCCUGUUCAAAACCCUUAGAGGCCAAAUUCCUGCCGAUGCUGAAGAAACCCUCUUCCAUGCUGCACACCUAGAAAGCCGCCAGCUACAGUACCAGAGAGCCACUCGACGCCUUGCCGAUAGAGCCGCUCAAAUCCAGCUUUCUGAGGAGAUGAUGAAAGAAAAACUCUUAGCCGACGAGAAACAUAAGAACAUCGGCACCUUAAAGUCCUCAGGUGAUGCACUGAAGCAGAAAGUAUCUGAUCUAUCGGCAAAAAGAGAAGCUCUACUGGCCGAACUCAAGCAAGUAGAGGAUGCUCUGUCCCAAGCCCAGCAAGAAGAGAGUCAACUGCCGGAGACCAUCAAGCACCUUGAACAAGAACGAAACGUCCACGGUCGCAAAGCGCUGCAGUUGAAGAGGAAGCUGAAGCCGAUAGAAGGUUCUGCCGAUGAUGAUAUCAAAGAGAUAGAGACAGCCAAUCAGAUCCGGCUGCGCGCCAUAUCGGCAAUCCAAGCGCUGCUGAACAUCUGAAGCUUUCAUCGGCAACACACCUUUGUUAUCCCGCUUUUAGCUUUUAGUCUAGCCGAUAAGACUGUUAUCAGCAUCUUUUGAAACAUUAAGUCUGCCCCCAAACAUUUAAAUCCAGCCGAUAGGAGUGUUAUCGGCACUUAAACUUUUAUGCAUCGACCCAUAUGCUGGGGUAGUACUUCUUUAAAUAUUUGCCAUUUAAUGCUCUGGGAAAUUCAACUCCUUCGAGAGUUUCUAGAAUAUAGGCAUUACCAGGAGCCGAGUGUCUUAUCCGAUAAGGACCUUCCCAAUUAGGAGACCACUUCCCAAACUUCGAACUUUUAGUCCCGACUGGCAAAAUCAACUUCCAUACCAAAUCCCCAUCGGCAAACUCCUUAGCCUUUACUUUCUUAUCAUACCAUCUAGCAACUCUCUUCUUAUUUUCUUCUAUACUCAUUAAAGCCUUUAACCGAUGCCCUGCUAAAUCAUCUAACUCAUCGGUCAUCAAAGUGGCAUAAUCAUCGGCAGCCAAUUGAUCUUGAAAAGAUAAUCGCCUGGAUCCAGCCUUAAUCUCCCAAGGCAACACUGCAUCAUGUCCAUACACCAAUUGAUAGGGUGACACCUUGGUUGAUCCAUGACAAGCCAUCCGAUAAGACCAUAGUGCUUCAUUUAACAAUGUAUGCCACCGCCUAGGAUUUUCUUCAAUCUUUCGUUUAAUAAGCUUGAUAAUUCCUUUGUUAGACGCUUCGGCCUGCCCAUUGGCUUGAGCAUAGUAAGGAGAAGAAUUCAACACUUUAAUUCCCAUACCGAUUGCGAAUUCAUCGAACUCCCCCGACGUGAACAUGGUGCCCUGAUCGGUAGUAAUCGUUUGGGGAAUCCCAAAUCGGUAAAUAAUAUGCUCCUUCACAAAAUCAAUCAUAUUGGCCGAUGUGACUUUCUUCAAAGGAAUAGCUUCGACCCACUUGGUGAAAUAGUCAGUGGCAACUAGAAUGAAUUUAUGCCCUUUGCUAGAUGGUGGAUAAAUCUGGCCGAUCAGAUCGAUGGCCCAUCCCCGGAACGGCCAAGGUUUUAUUAUAGGAUUCAUAGCCGAUGCGGGUGCUCUCUGGAUAUUACCGAACUUUUGACAACCUUGACAUCCCUUGAAAUAUUUAAAACAAUCUUCAAGUAUGGUUGGCCAAAAAUAUCCAUUCCUUCGAAUCAUCCACUUCAUCUUAAAAGCUGACUGAUGCGCUCCACACACUCCUUCAUGGAUUUCCCCCAUCAAACUUUUGGCUUCAUCAUCACCCAAGCAUCGGAGAAGAAUUCCGUCGAUAGUUCGAUAAUACAAUUCAUUUUCAAGGAGCACAUACUUGGUUGCCUGAAAUCGAACCCGUCUUUCAACUUUUUUGGAUGGAUCUUUUAGAUAAUCAACAAUUUCUUUCCUCCAAUCACCGGCACCGACUGCCGAUGUCGCAUUAAUCAUUGGCUGAUAUCCCGAGGCAUGCUCAGCUAACCGAUUAGCGUCUUCAUUAUACUGAUGGUUGAGCCGGCCCUUCUGCCUGUGUUUCCUCCUAUUGCCGUGGCGCCCUUCCUGUCUUAUGGUUAGGAUAAGGGGGAUCACAAGUGGUCUUACCCCCUCUCGUGGUCACCGCAUUUACAUUUUCCACUGAAUCAGGAGAAACAAUAGCUUUAGCGGCAGACGCAAGCUGAGCUACUUUUAACUCGAUCUUCUUAUUAAAAGCUAGCUGAUCUCUAACAGAAAGGGUCAGGCCAUCAAGCUUUGCGUUUAUGUUGACAAACAUUUGAUCAUUUUCAGAAAGCUUUUUAACAAGAUUUUCAUUGAUUUUGGCCUGACCUAGCACAAGAUCUUUCAGCGAAGGCUGGGAGGAGUUAAAAAUGGAGUAAUUACCUUGGGGGCGGUUCUGGUUGUUCCACCCAUUACCUUGCUGUUGUUGGCGGAACCCGUUGUUGAUGAACGAUGCGUCCUCCAGGGUUCCAGGGCAAUUGAUCCCCAUGUGGCCAACAUUCCCACAUUCCUCACACGUCAUGCGUGAGUCGAUGGCUUGGACAGUGCCGAUGGUCGGAUCAGUGGCCUGACCGUCCAAUCUCUUCAUUAGUAGGUCUAUUUUGGCGGCAAGAAAAUCCAUCUCCUUCACAGUAUGCAUGCCUUUUUGUGUUUAGGGCCCUCUCCCCAACUCUGGUUGGCUACCAUCUUGUCAAUUAAUGCCGUAGCAUUCUCGAUGGUCAGGGAGAGGAACGCGCCUCCAGCAGCUGCAUUGAUGUGCCCCUUAGACAUGGGUGUGAGCCCCUCAUAGAAAUUCUGAAGCACGAGGCAAUCUUCCAUCCCGUGGUGGGGGCAGGCCCGGAUGUACUCCUAGAGCCUUUCCCAAGCCUCAGGAAUGGAUUCGAGUGAUGUCUGCUGGAAGUUUGAUAUCUUUCCCCUCAGAGCAUUUGUUUUGCUCAUGGGGAAAAAUUUCGCGAGGAACGCCAUGGAACAUUUGUCCCACAUGUUGACAGCUUCCUUGCUCUGGUAGAACCAUUGCUUCGCCUUCCCCGAGAGGGAGAAGGGAAACAAGCGGAGCUUGACGCUUUCAGGUGCGACAUCCUUGAUGAUGAUGGUUUCGCACAGCUCAAGGAAGUUCUGUAGAUGCGCAUUUGUGUCCUCACUUGGCAAACAAUAGAACUGGUUUGCCUGCACCAUCGUGAGUAGGCCAUUGCGAAGCUCGAAGUUUCCAUUCCCAGUGUGGACUGCGGGCCCAACGGGCACGUUGGCAAUAGCGGGGGUGGAAUAGUCACGGAGUGACCUGGCCAUGGUGGUUCAAACGGAUGGUGCGGGGGUGAUUGGUUCGACUAUCGGCGGCGUGGCAGAGGAAGAAACGACAUGAGUCCUUUUCUUCUUUAGGAGUGCCACUGGAUUGCUGUUGAAGUUUGUCGACAAGUUGAAACCACUCAUACACUAUCCUGUUUUCAUUCCAAUAAAAAGAGGAAGAAAACAUCAAAGAUUAUCCUGCUUAAACUAUGGCUACCAAUGCUUAUUUUAUAAUCAAUGCUAAAUGCCAAAGCUAGAUGUUUGCAUUGUUCUUUGCCCUCCCCGGCAACGGCGCCAGAAAUGCUUGUUGGCAUUUCUUAGCGUCACUACUAAAGAUAGACUAUAAAUCCAUCAUUAGCAAUGGCACCAGAAAUGUCGGGUGUUGGUAUACCAUAACUAUCGUUACGUCAGAGCGAUAACCCAAGGCCUUUAAGGGCGCUGGCCUUAGCAGUGCAGUCUGGUAACAAUAAUUAGGAAUGCCAGAUUGGCCAUCCUAACCAUCCUUACUUACGAUAUGCAAAGCUGUAGCACGGUGCCAGAUAAAUGCACAGAGUUUACAAUCUUAAGUAACGGUACUUAGGUACGCCAAUUAAUAGUUCAUGAAUAUAAAGAAUAAAACUGCAAGCGAACAAAACUAUCAUUGUAGCAUUUCAACCUGUGAGUAUUCAAGGUUAUCGUAUUUAAUCAUGUAGGAGGGCGUAACAAAUGCAUCUAGCUUGGUUUGUAGCAUGAUCACUUAUUGUGAUGCAUAGGUAGACAUAGUCUAAUCAGGGGUCACGGCAUGCUCUUAAAAUAUGGAUAGCGGACACAAUCAUCGGGGCAACCUCAAGGAAUAAAGAGAAAAUAAGGAAAUAAAAGAAAUAAAGAACAACUACUUGAGCCAGCAUUGAUCUUAUAUAACUAUGCAAAGAAUUGUUAGUAGAACAUCUAAUCAAUAUAACUAGAGUUAGAACUAAGUCUAAGGCUCUUGUGAGAUCCCCACAGUUGGACAUACAGCCGAUAGGGACUUUAAAGAACUCCUACCGGAAUACCUGAUCGUGGGGGAAUACGAGGGAUGACAGGGCUGUCACAACCCUACCACCUACCCCUCUACCCGAAAGAUACCCGCGCAUCUGCUGAUCUCCACAUACCCGAGCACCUCGCCCGUGUAAUUGGAAACGCCUCCUAGCCUCCCGGGACCCCAACCCUUCGGAUUGACAGGCUCGGCUAAGAGUGGCCAUCAUAGCCCAACGAACCGUUACCCCAAUCUUAAUCCUUUGUCUAUUCAUACUAAUUAGAUGAAUGAUGAAGAACAAGGAUGAACACAUCAAAAAAAUAGCACAAGAACUAAGAACUAGUUCAUAUACUAUGAACAAGAUAUGAACACAACUAUACUCUAAUUCAAUUGCAUAAUCAUAUAAAUAAGAUAAGAACAUGCUCAUGGCAGAGAACUGAAUUGUAUUCAUACCAAGAAGCUCUAAGAUCCCCUAAGGAGACAAGCUCUCCUUGCUAGCUUUGCCUUGCUCUACUACUAAAUCUAAACUAAAGAACAAGUGUAGAAAUGUGAGGUGUAUUGCUCCAAAUGAUGGUGUGUGUUGAAUGGUGUGGAGCCGUCUAUUUAUAGCCCAACAAGGAUGGUUCAUGGCGAUCUAAAUUUGGUAGGAGGUGAAACCGUCCUAUGCAUGCCACCAUGCAACCGCCUGAAAAAGCUGGGACCGAGUUGCCACCUCGGGGGUGCGCCCGCACCAGGGUGCAGCCGCACCACUGGUGGGCCCCCCUAGCCACCGCCUUCGCGUGGUCGGUUCGUCUCUGGGCCCUAAUCCUUCCCAUGGUUACGGAUGGAUCUAGUUCGGUGUUUUGGUGGGCUUUUCCGUUUAUCUUUGAUUUGCGCCUUUUCUGAAUACGCUUUCUUGAAGUGCGCUUUCUCGUAUCUUUUCUGCCUUUCCACAUGUCAUACGUGAAAUUGAUAUUUGCAACAAAACUUGUGGAAAGGUUAGUUCAAAGCCCUACCAUCUAUUUAUUUUAUUUAUUAAAAUGAUGUUUAUAAUUAUAAGAUAAGGGGUACCAACAAGUGGCAUGUGUAAAGCAACAGAGGGUGGUAGCUAUUAUUUUUAAAGUUUUUGAAAAGAAAUUCUCUAAGUGACAAAGAUAUCAAGAAUCUGGCUCUCAUAUUCUACCACCUCUCAUUCCACAAUAAUUCAAGCAACAUGGAGUCUCUAAAUAAUUCCUAAUAAUAGCAGGACUCCAGGAAACAUUGAGCAUGAUUAAAAAUGUUUUAUCUUUGUAAUUCAUCAUGUUUAAAGAUUUAUUUAUAAUAAUUUAUUGCAUGAAUCAAAAUUCAAGGGUAUGUAUGAAAGUAUGUAACGUGUAGGGUGCAAACCUGACCGUGGUCGAAGGGCUGAGCAGGAAGUGCCCUAGGCAGGGCGGGCGCCCAAGCCAGUGGGGCGGCCGCCCAACUGGGGUGGCCCCUCGCCCUCUGCUUUGUCGUGCAGAGUUGUUGCAUAGUUUGUUUCCAAAAAUUUUGAUUGUUGCGGUUGAGUUCAUUCGUUUUGUCGUCGGAAGUCUCCCCCAUACUUGUUUCCUGUUCUCUUGCAUACAAAACAAAGUGUAGACAAGCAAGGCACAAUAAUAAUAAAAUGAUCUUUAUUUCAAUCUCAUUUGAGGCAUUUAUUACAUUUGUAGUAAACCAAACUCUAAUAGAUGAAUUGAUAAACCUGAACGAAUCUAAUCAAAUUUAAGCAAAUCUAGUCGGAUCUAAGCGAAUCUAAGCCUGCCUCAUCGAUUAUAUGACUAGCUAAUGUGCUCAAUGACACUGCAAGGUCUUCACUUGAUCCUUGAGCGUAGCUAUAUCAUGCCUAAGGCUCUCCAUUAUCGUGUUCAGGUGCGAAACCUGCCUAUUAAGAAAGCUAAUAUUAGAUUGGAGUUCUAUGAUCGUGUCGUCCCUGCUGUGGAAGUCCUUGUCCAGGUCAGCGACAAUCUUGCGACGCUUGGGCAGUGACUCGAAGGAGUUGAGUGAACCCUUCGAAGCGUCCUUUGGCGGGAUGAAUCUGACCUUCGAGGCACGAAUUCCCUCGAUGUAAGGACGUUCUUCUUCAGUGGUGUACUUGACGCUUUAGAGCUCUCCCCGAUGGUUGGUCUUCACUCCAACGAUCCUUGCAUUGGGUCUUGGUGGGAGGAUCCUAGUUCCGGCAGGCACGUUGAUGACAUGACCUUCUCUUGGUCCCUUGAGCAGGAGUGGUUGCGGUGGUGCAAUGAGGAUGGGUUGAGCACAGUAGCACUGGCCAUAGCCACGCUGCCUUGGAGGAAUGGUGGCAAGUGGGCGAGCAUCAUGGACUACGACUAGAGCUUUGGAGUUUGGAUCUUCAGGCAGGAGCUGAUUGAGAUCGAUCCUGUACGGGACCAUUCUCCUAUCAGAGUUGUUGUUGCUCGCCAUGGAGCAAGAAGGGGUUUAGCAAGCUUCUAGGCGAGAGGCUAGAUGAAUGAUUGAAUGAUGAUGAUGGCUGACGUCAUGGGUUGUUUAUAUAGGCCCAGCAAAGGGGCUCUGGAAGGAUCUACGGAGCAUAUCCAACGGCUGAUUGGUUGGAUAAAUUUUUCGCGGGGUUUUCUUCGAAGAGGACUACCGUAAUUUUGUAACUACAAACAGCGGCGGCGAGGGGUUUCUGGGGCACUGUGGGCGCCCUAGGGCACAGGGCGCCCGCCCUGGCUCCAGCUCCUCUGCCGGGCCCCUUUUUUGGAUUUGUUUCUAGAAGGUUUUAUUAUUCAGAAAAUAGACGCAGGUCCCAAAAUUAUAAAUUUAAAGCGAUUGGGCCACAAAAUUCGCUUAAAAUGUAGAAAUUAAUUACGUGUAUUUCUUCUAUUUUUUUAUCUUGUUCUAAAAAUAAUUUAAGAUGUUGGCCAUUUACCUUGAACAACGUACCUUCGUCAUUUUAAAGUGUGAUCGCUCCAUGGGAUGAUGAAUUGAUUACCUUGUAUGGUCCUUCCCAUUUGCUUUGUAGUUUUCCGUGCCUGAAGAGUUUUACCCUAGAAUUAAAAAGUAAUACCUUGUCUCUGGGUGCAAACUCCUUCUUCUUGAUUCUCUUGUUGUGCCAUCGUUUCACUCUUUCCCUAUAGAUCUUGGAAUUGUGAUAUGCCUUCUCUCGCCACUCCUAUAACUCUAAUAAUUGCAUUUGUCUUUUCUCUUGAGCAGCAUCUAAGUCCAUAUUCUAUCUUUCUAUGGCCCAGUGUGCUUUGAACUCUAGUUCCAUAGGUAAGUGACAAGUCUUUCUGUACACGAGUUGAUAUGGAGACAUUCCAAUUGAAGUCUUGUAUGUAGUCCGGUAGGCCCAGAGUGCAUCGGGUAACUUGUCCUUCCAUGUUGUUCCCAUCUCAUGCACUAUCUUCUAAAGAACAUUCUUGAUUUGUUUGUUUGAGGUCUCUGCUUAUCCACUUGUUUGAGGGUGAUAAGGUGUAGUGAUAUUAUGAUGGAUCCUAUGCCUUGCUAGGUAUUGCUCGAAGCAUUUGUCGAUAAAGUGUGAUCCUGCAUCACUUAUUACUAUUCUAGGGACUCCAAAUCUUGGAAAUAUGAUUUCUUUGAACAUUUUCUUAGAAUUCACGUUGUCGGCACGCUUGCAGGGUAGUGCUUCUACCCACUUGGAGACAUAGUUAACUGCCACCAAGAUAUGCUCACACUUCUUUGAUGGGGGAAAUGGUCCCAUAUAAUCGAUUCCCCAGACAUCAAAGAGCUCUAUCUGUAGGUUGCUGGUGAGUGGCAUGGCAUCUCUUGAAUUUAUAUUGCAAUGUCUCUGGCAUGGCCCACAUCUUCUGAUAAAUUUUUAGUGCCUUCAUACAUUGCCAGCCAAUAGAAUCCACAUUGCCAAAUUUUUGCAUGUGUGCGGAACGCUCCAUAAUGACCUCUAUAUGGAGACGAGUGGCAUCUUUCUAUGAUCUUCAGUCCUUCUUCGUCAGUCACACAUCUUCUGAGUAAGCCAUUAGAGCAUACUCGGAAUAGGUAUGGCUCAUCCCAUAUGUGUGAACGACUCUCUUGAAUAAGCUUCUUUUUGAUUCCUUUUGGUGGUACAUAUCCUAAAACCAUAAAAUUAACAAUGUCUGCAUACCAGGGGUCAGAUUUGUUGAUCCCGUAGAGCAUGCUAUCCUAGAUUGAAUUAUUAAUGGGUAGUUCAUGCGGCUUCUUAAAGUACAUUCUUGACAAGUGAUCAGCAACAGAGUUUUCUACUCCCUUCUUAUCGUUUAUUUCUAAGUCAAAUUCUUGGAGUAGUAAGAUCCUUCUUAUUAAACGAGGUUUAGUAUCUUUUUUAGUGAGCAAAUAUUUUAAAGCAGCAUGAUCAAUAUAAACAAUAACUUUAGCUCCUACUAAAUAAGAUCUAAACAUGUCUAUAGCGAAAACAACAGCUUGGAGCCAUUUUUCAGUGGUUGCAUAAUUAAUUUGAAGUACUAUCAGAGUUUCACUAGCAUAAGCUAUCGCUUGAUGUUUCUUAUCCUUAGUUUGUCUCAAAACUGCCCCCACAGCAUAAUCACUAGCUUCACACAUAAUUUCAAAAGGUAAAGACCAAUCAGGGUUUGAAUGAUUGGUGCAGAGAUGAGCACUUUCUUUAACAAUUCAAAAGCCUUUAAACAAGCGUCAUCAAAAACAAAAGGAUCAUCCUUGGCUAGAAAAAAGAGUAAGUGGUCUAGCAACGAGAAAUCUUUUAUAAAUCUAUGAUAAAAACCAGCAUGACCAAGGAAACUUCUAAUUCCUUUUAUAUUAACAGGCAGAGGUAAUUGUUCAAUUACUUCAAUUUUAUCUCUAUCUACCUCAAUGCCUCUUUCAGAAAUUAAAUGUCCUAGCACUAUUCCUUCUCUCACCAUAAAAUGACAUUUUUUCCAAUUAAGGGCCAAGUGCUUUUCUUCACAUCUUUGCAAGACCUUGUCUAAAUUUCAAGAAAACUAUCAAAAGUUUUUCCAUAAACAGAGAAAUCAUCCAUGAAAACUUCCAUAAUACCUUCAAUCAUGUCAGAAAAUAUAGACAUCAUGCAUCUUUGAAAAGAAGCUAGAGCAUUACAUAACCCAAAAGACAUUCUUCGAUAAGCAUAAGUUCCAUAGGGACAUGUAAAAGUGGUUUUGCUUUGAUCAUUAGGAUGAAUUGGGAUUUGGUGGUAUCCCGAAUAUCCAUCUAGGAAACAGAAGAACGAGUGGUUAGCUAACCGUGGCUUUGUUCAACUUUCUAUAAUCUAUACACAUCCGCCAUCCUGUGAUGGUGCGUUGCAGAAUCAGCUCAUUCUUUUCAUUCGUAACAACAGUCAUGCCUCCCUUCUUGGGCACAACUUGGACGGGGCUUACCCACUCACUGUGCGCCGCGGGGCAUAUAAUCCCUGCAUGCAGCAACUUUAUGACUUCCUUUUUAACUACUUCUCUCAUUGCAUUAUUGAGUCUAUGUUGCGGUUCUCGAGAAGGUGAAACAGAAGGAUCUGUAGGAAUGCGAUGAGUGCAAAGAAUAGGACUGAUUCUAGUGAGAUCUUGGAGUGAGUAGCCAAAGGUUGAGCGAUGUUUUUUCUAGAACAGCCAUUAAGAGCAGAGUUUGCUCCUGAGUGAGUUUAUCACUUAUUAUUAUAGGAGACUCUGGAUUAUUAUUGAGGAAAGCAUAUGUAAGACCAGGUGGUAAAGGUUUAGCUCUAUGGGAGGUCUAGGUGCUUCGGCAAACUCGUCUAAGGGUUUUGGUUCAGAAGGGCCAGCUUCUUCUUCUAUGAAGAAAGGAGCAUCUUCUUCUAAGUCUCGUUCUCUCAAAAACUCCCAAGAAGCAUACCUUACUUCUUUCAUAGGAUCAGGUAACAGAAAUGAUUUGGUCUUAUUAUUUAAGGAAUGGAAAAUUGUCAAUGGGAAUUGGAAAUUCUUCCCAAGAGAGAUAUUAAGCUUCCCGUUUUGACCAUCAUAAAGGAGUCUUCUGAAAGGUUGUCCUCUCAACAGGUCGAAGUCCCAUGUAUCAAAGAUAUAAAAGUUCAAGUGAACCAUGGCUCCUUCUACCAUAAAGUGUAAGACAUGUAAAAUUCCAAGAGUGGGGACUAAAUGUCCAGAAAGACUCUUCAUGAGUUUCGUUGUUGGGGUUAAGGUCACUUUGCCCAAUAAUCUAUGCACAAGUGAUUUAGACAUGAUAUUCACCCCCCACAAUGGAUUAUAGAGAGCAUCAAAUUUAUAUGCAUUAAGCUCACAGCGUAUAGGAAUAGAAGGUGAAUCCAGACAGAUCACUUCAGAGGAAAGCUCUGAUUCUUCUAACCAUUCGCUGCUCAUAAUUGAAACAAGCUCUCUCAAAAUGCUCUUGCUCGGUAUUUCGUGUAUAUAGUUGCUAUGACUCCGGGGUUUUGGAAUAGCAAAGUAUUUUGAAAUGUUUCUAAAAUCAGUAAAAAGAUCAGGAUCUAUAUCCAGCAUGAAAUUAGGUGGUGGAAUUUCUUCCUUUUGAGGCUCAGGGAUAGCUGAAGUGGAUGGUGUAUCUGGCAAUGUAUUAUCUUCAGCUUCAUGAGUUUCUUCAUAGAGGAUAUUGUCCAUCUCAGCAUCUAGGAUUCUAUCUAGCAUAAGCUUUGCUUUUGAGGAUGGUUUGUGCAAGAAAGAACCUCCAAAUGUGGUAUUUAGCAACUCUCUAUCUUUCUUAUGAAGGCCUUUAUAAAAAUGUUGAAGAAGAGUGGGGCCUUCAAUGUUAAGGUGUGGACCUGAUUCUAAAAGCUCAAGAAAACAUAUCCAAGAUUGAGCCAAAGAUUCAUUCUCUUUUUGUUUGAAGGUCAGAAUCUUGACUCUAAGGUCAACAAUUUGUAGAAUGGUAUAAAAAUCUAGACGUAAGUUGGAGCGCAAAACUCCCCAAUCUCCUUGUUGUUUGCUUACCUUCUGAUUAUACCAUUGUCUAGCUCUUCCCUUUAAAGAGAAAGGAAAAAGCUUCCAACGUAAAGUUUUAUCGGAUAUGCCCUCUAUGCGAAGACAAUCACAUGUUUGCUCAAAAUCUCGAAUAUGAAGGUAAGGGUUUUUGUCUACCUCUCCAAAAAAGGAUAGGCUUUCAAUCAUUGCAAUCAACCACGGACUCAACCUAAACUAGGGAGUUUGGAUAAGCUUUGAUGACUCCCAUGGUAAUAGGUCAGUCUCCGUGGGUGCAUAGAACUCACAGAUAGGCAUGGAAUUUAGAAUUUCCAUAGAAAUAGAAAAUGUAAGAAUAAAGAAUGAAAAAGGUAAAUAAAGAUAAAAGUAUAGGUGCAAGAUAAUAGCAAGACUCAAGGUUAUCUCAGCAGACCGUCUUUCUCCUCGGCAACGACGCCAGUAGGGAUGUCAACGGGGCCCCGUUCCCUGAUUCCCCACUGGGAAUUCACCUAUUAUGGGAUGAGGAUGGUAUAGAUUUUGCCACCACGGGGAAUUAAAUGGGGCGAAAGUUGUCCCCAUCGGGGUUCACAGAGAUAGGGAUGGUAUGCGUGCCCCCGUCCCCGUGGGGAUCCGGCUCUGAAGGCCCAUAUGCUUGCAAGGUCCAAUAGUUGUGAUAUAUAAGCGAAGUUAAAACUCUAAUUCUUCACUUUCUCAGUCUCAAAUGUGAGUUUUUAUAUAAGGGAUUUGUUUAUAUACCACUAAUUUGAAUUCGUGAAUAUGUGAAUAGUUGACAUCACGUAAACUAAUAUGAACUAACGUGGAUACGGGAAACCCCGCGGGGAUUAUUCCCAGCAUGGGGACAGGGAUAGGGAGAAAAUCUCCCCUAUGACAUUUCACGGGGAUGGGGAUGGGGGAAAUUUCAUCCCCACGGGAACGGGGAUGGGGAAGCACUCCCCGACGGGGAAUUCCCCAUUGACAUCUCUAGGCGCAAGAAAUGCUUGUUGAUAUUUGUUAACGCAGACAGAAGAAUAAUCCGCAAGCAAAUGGAUAUCGGUGAGCACUUCACCCGAGAGUCUAUCCAGAGUAUUGUUAUUUGUUUUUCCAUAAGGAGAAACCGUGCAUCUGACUAACCAAAUCUAUUGCUACUAUCCUUUAGGCUACAAACAAGGUGAUUUGAUGUGAGUGAUAUAGAGAAGACCAAACAACACUCUCGUCCUAACCUAUGCAAGAUUGGUACUAUUGUUCUAUUGGGGAGAACCGUAAAGAUAAGAAAAACACCACAGAGGAUGCUUAUCCCCCAACCUAAUAACCCUACCAGUCCUUCUAACGGGAUCGUGGGCUCCAAAGGUACCAACAAAAUUGUCACAACCACAAAUCUGGCUAGACAGGGGAUGUCUAUGAGUAUCCUAGCCCAAAUACCACUUUAUGCUAGAGAUGAUUACCCUACUCUCUAUGCAAAGAGAAUAAAGUAAACUCAUAAACCAAAGAACAAUAAUAACAAGGCACUUACUAGUAUUAGAAGUCAAAAUGUUGAAGAAUCUUAGGAACAAGCCUCGGGUUAGGAGACUUGAACCCGCAGGUACAAACUGGAGAGGAGACACCGAUAGGCUAGGCUUCCUCCAAUCCCCACCUCCACUCUAUCUCUCUCAACCUAGAAGAGUAAACUCUAAUCUCACAUAGAAACUAAAAUAGUUUCUCUUGAAUGCUAAGCCCUAGAGACUAGAUCCAUUCAAGGGACCCUCUCUAUGGUGAAUCCUCUCUGGAAAAUAUUAUGAUGAAUAAUGGAUUGCCCGUGGCAGGGGGCCUGGGGCCUUGCUUAUAUAGCCCCCUCAAAUGAAUGUCGGCCAUAGGAUCAAACCGACUUAAAUGAAUGGUUUAGAUUAAUCCUCAAAGGCGGUGGAACCCUAAUUCACGAAGUGGAGCCUGAUUGGCCACUUGGCCUAGGCGGUCGCCCUAGGGGGGUGGGCGCCCGCCCUACCCUGUUGGCAGGUGGGUCCCUCCCUCUAGGGGGGUGCUUCUAGGGUCUUCUAGAUUGUUCUUUUUCGUACCGAAGUGUUAUGUGUCUAUGUAAACCUUACUUUUGGGCCUCUUUUGGUAUUUUGCAGUUGUCUCCCUGCAAAAAUAGUUAAACACCAAAACUCAUAGAAUUCUGUCAGUAUAAACCCUAUGUCUAGGUGGUGUAUUGCAAUUUUAUCCUUUCUCACACUUAGUUGACACUUAGAAUUGAUAAUUAAGGAGUGUCAACAAUGUUUUAAGUAAGUGGAUGGUGAGGAAUGCACAUGGUGCAUGAUUAUGCAAAUGAUCACAAAAAUGGUCAUGAUUGGUUAUAUACUGAGUCUAUGCAUAUCUCCUCUCCAGCAGAGGGGAGGCAUGAUGCAAGGAACACGCAUUAAAUUAUUUCUACUAGGUAGUCAAUAUCAUCCAAGAAUAUGUACCCUCAGUAUAACUUAUCUAUUGCAUUCCUUUCUACAUUUUUAGCACAAACCCACAUGUUUUAUAAUGCUUCAGAGAUACACAAAAAUAUUUAAAUUACUUUUGAUUUCACAUAAAACAAUCCUUUAUUUAUUUAACUAUCACUAGGCCUAUAACAGCAACAUAUAUUUCUAGUAUUAAAUAAUCUCACAGAUCACCAACAUAGUAUAGCAUAAAAAUCUCACUGCAUUUGGACAAGUAAAAUGGCCUACACAAAAAUCACCAUUAUACUAGGCAUAAACGAUGGAAAAUACCCUACACAUGCAAAAGUGUCAAACAACAAAUUUCAUAUUUUUCUUAAAUACCUUAAGACAUAGGGAAGCCCUACAAAAAUUCACAAGUUAAUCCCAUGUAUAGAUUAUUUAUUAAAAAUCUUAAACCACCAUCAUGCAAGCAUUUAAUUCACUAAUAAUUAUUUUUGUACAGAAAAUAUCAAGUUCCACAUUUUCACAGAGGCAAAAUAGUAGUACGAUCCUACCAAAACAAGAAUCACAUUUUUCUAAGCUAUAUUUUAUUUUCUACACAUUUUAUAAGAAAUCUACAUUUCCAUGAUCUAAAUAAAUCUUCACAAAAAAGUUUUACAAACAUGACAUACAAGUAUACCAAACUGUAGAUCUAUAAAUAUAAAGCAUAGCAAAAAUUUGUUUCAUCAUUUUCUAAGCUAUAGAAAUCAAGUUAUGAAUUUUACAAGCAUUUAAACACUAUUGAAAUUCAUUUUCUUAAAUCCUUUUUAAAAUCCAACACUGAAAAUGCUAGAUCCACCCGAGAGUACACACGCUCGAGUACACCUAGUCGCUAACAGGUGGGACCCCGACCCCACCCGACAGGCACAAAGAGAGGAGGGGAUCUCCGGUGAGCCGUAGCUCACCACCGGCGAGGUCCCCGGCCUCGGGGUCAGCACCAUCGUGCUCCUCGCGGUGAGGCACACCAACUGGUGCCCUUAGGGUGGCCAGAGGAGCUCCGAGGCGAGCUCCCCACAGGGAACGGUGGAGUGGGUUGUUGACGGUCCUUAAAUAUCAAAUACAAUCAACAAAUAAACAAAGAAAAGGAUUCAAAUGCAACCGAUACCCAGACUUAGGGUUUUAUCUGAUAGAAUUUCAUGAGUUCUGGUGUUUGUCUAUUUCUACAAGGGGUUAUCAGGAAAUAUGGAGGAAAGGCCCACAACUCAGGUUUAUAUAGAGAUAUUAACGUGCACCGCAAUUAUCCAACAUCUACAAGUGUCCAGAAGCCACGGGAACGAGCGGGAGACCAAACGGGCCCGGGUGCAGGGCGCCUGCCGUGGCCUGAGAGCCAAUCAUGCUCCACCUCGCGGAUCAUGCUCCACCGACCUAAGGGAUUAAGGAAAACUGUGCGAUUAAGGUCGGAUUGAUCGGACGGUCCAUAUUCAUUUGGAGGGACUAUACAAGCAGACCCCCUGGCCCCUGGAGGAGACACCUCUGAAACCCUAAUUCAUGUAUCCAUCUUGGGAGAAGAAGUCUCUGAUCAAGCCUUAGAGCCACCACAUCAACUAGAUCUCUAGUUUAGCAUAGCUACAUAGGAUUAGAACAAGAAGGAGUCAAUCUUCAAUUGGUGUCCGGACCUGUCAAGAGGAUUCUUGGUAAGUCCUCUACUGUUCUUCAUUUGUUCAUCAUUGUUCUUCAAUAUUAUGAAUAUGACUUUGUUCUACUUCAAUAUAUUGAUUAUGACUUUGCUCUACUUGUUUAUAUUUGCAAUUAUAUUGUUCUUAGUUUAUCAUAGUCAUAUGCUUGGCUUAGUUAGAUUGGAAUUAUAUACAUGUUUAGGAUCGUAUAGCAUUUAUCCAUGUGUACAGUGAGUAAAUGGUAAGUAUUGUGUAGGCGUGGUGCCUAUACCGUAUUUAACUGCGAUUGUACCCUAUAUGCCGGAUCGCAGGGUAGUUCCUGGUGGUGACAGCUCCAUUGAUUCUUAUAUAGUCCCGCUCUCGUGUAUAGGGCAGGCAGAGCAACAUUAUUACAAGGGAGUGAUUGCUAUGUUUCUCAUUUUCCUGGAUAAUAUCACUAUGCAUGGGCGUAGUCCUGUCUCGCAGUGAUUGCCAAGUAUAAUUGCACUAACUAUGAUAUGCUAGUCCUUAUAGUUAAGAAUAACUUAGGAAAUAUUCUUGUAGUUCAUCCUAAUUCCAUGCUAAUGACUUGCUAGAAUAUCUGUUGAGGUGCUUAUCAUUAUUAUAUGUGGCUAGUUAUGCUGAUCAGAUUAAUUAUCUUUGUCACCAUUCAUACUUUAUAUAUAUUUUAUGUGACAUUUAUCCCUGUAUGAAAGAGAUAAAUAAAUGCUAUCUAUUAUAUAUGCAAUGAUAGAUACUCAAUUCCAUAUUCCAUUCGAUAAUCAACAUUGAUGUUUAGCAAUCCCUUCCCAGUGGUAAAAAUAUAAAUAACGAUACCUGGAAUACUUCCCGGUUAAAACGCUACAUCGGUAUUAAUCUGUGCGCCUGCUGAUCUCAUUUAUUAUUCAUUCAGAAGAGCAAUUGCAUAUUUCAAUACCGCGUCUCUCAUGUCAUGCUGGGGAUGAGAACUUGGCUUAAGUGGCAUGAGGGAUAGGUUUGGCAUUUUUGGCGCCGUUAUAAGAUUUAGAAAAUUAAGUCUACUUUUAGUCAUGACAUUAAGAAUGAACAAUAGGCAUUUUUGGCGCCGUUGCUGUCACAGAACCGACCAAAUUAUAAGAGUUCAAGUGUAGAAACGAUCGACAAGCAAUCAAGUUUCCAAAUUUGAGCCCAUAUAAUCCCGGUAGUCAACUAAAAUCACGAAGGACUUCAAACCAACUUGCAACAAACCAAGAUCGUAAUAGUUCAACACAAACACAGCGAAUGUUGCAUAGUCAUUCAUUGCCGACGAAGCGGCACCACAUCGGAGUUAUUAAGUUAUUAAAACACAUGUUCACGUAGUGGAAGCAAAAUAAUUACACACACUUUUCAAAGUUCAUUUCAUAUGUUCUUGUUCAGCCAGGGUCUCAUGCCGUCCAUCCAAAAGCAACAGAUACAAAGUGGUUAGAGGACCGUGCCCAACGGUUAGUCCUCAUCCCCAGCGGGAUGGAGACAGGUCUUGCAGAAGCCAUCAUAAAAGAUAUCAUCUGCAACAGGUGGGAAUAAGCCCUAAGUACGAGGAUGUACUCAGCUAGACUUACCCGUCUAGUAAAACAUAAAAAACACCAAGGAUCAUGCAAGGCUAAUAUCAAGUAGAGCUGGUUGACUCAACAUUUGCCAAAAGCUUAAAUUAUAACUAAAAUAUUGUGGAAGCAUCAUAUUUAAUCAUCAUCAGCCUACCACUAGAUUAGCACCUGUACUAAAGCACUUCACUUGAUUAUUACAAGCAAUAAUAACCAUAUCAAAUUCAUCAUAUGUCUUCCUUGCUAUCAUCAUUAUCAUGAACCAAGUUCAUUAGUGAAUGCUACGUUUGCCGCUGCUCUAUCAAGUUCUCACUAACCGGGAGAGACGGCGAUUCGAAUCGAAUUCCUAUCCAGCUGGAGGGGUAUUCAUAGCACUCACCCAAGCAUCCCCCGUCGGAGAGCCAACGGGUCACCUUUGGUACGACUCAGGAAUCGCGGUUUCGAUCAGCGCCGCUCUCCCAGGGCUACCACUCUGCCAGGGAGGUCAGAAAUUUUAACUCACCUGCCUUUGGACUUACGCCAAUUGUCCCCCGCACACCGCACUUCCUCCGGUAGUGCGCACUUUAUACUUAUCGACCUUCCGGCCUGAGUCGUAUUACUCGACUUCGCGGUCGGAAUGAGUUAUCUGGCCAACUAAGUGUCAGGCAUGCGUUCAACAUGACAAGAGGACGUACAACGGUCGGUCCUUAGCUGCCACAAACGGAGUUACUACAACCUUGCAAACAUCCGCCCGGCUUAAGUCAAUUUAAUCAGGUUCCACCCACGAUAGCACGUAUAGUCCAUCGUGAUCCGACAUAACCCUAUAUCACGCAGGUGAUAGGAUAUCACCCAACUUCUACCGGUUAAAGCAUGGCUAAGCUGCUACUCGAUUCUAACUCUAUAACCAGGUAGUGGUAAGAUUUCUGGACAAGGAUGGAGUAAAAUGCAGCAAAGGUUUCAUCACAACUCCUAUUCUUAAUGCAUCAAUAGGUAUAACAUAUUCAAAUGAACUUUCGAAAAUAAAGGGAGACUUAGGAUGCUCCGGGGCUUGCCUUUUACGAACAAAGCUGGCUCGUGAUUCGGGCACUCAACUUCUUCUUCGGGCUCCUCGAGUCUGGCUUGCUGGACCUCCACCUCAGGGUUGCCCUCCUGUUCUUCAGGGUUGACUUGAAACUCGUAGGAGGCGGUCACGUCCGGUGCACCUAUUGCAUGCUCGAUGAAUAAGAAAGUGUGCAUACUAAAGGAUGAAUGCUUGACACAUAAUUAAACUCACUGGACACUCAUUUAUGGAGUAACUGUCAUAACAAGUUCACACAAGAUGAUAAAUUAAAUUAGCCAAAACCUGUCAAGUUACUAUCACAGCAAGCAUUACAUAACAGAGUUAGCUCAGUAAACAGAUCAUACCUAAUGCUAGACAGAUCCAACAAACAUGAGUGAGAACAUUCUGGAAAGCUUAUGAAAUUGCCUACAAAUCAUCUUUAAACAUCACAGCAAGAUUCAUAAGUUAAACAAGCCAUUUAAACAAAGUUCCAGGUUCUGUCCCAGAAAAACAGAAAGCACCUAUUUCUGGAAUCCAACUUGAAACAGCCAUAACUUUCAAACUACUGAACCAAAUGAUCCCAAAUGUAAACCACAGCUAGUUCAUAAAGUUUACAACAACUUUGAUUUAGAUAAGUUUCCCAGAAAACUCAGUUAUCAUUAAGCAAAAGCUAAAUUACUUCCUUGCUGUCCAGAACAGCUUUUAACCCACCAAUUAAUUAUUUGAUGACAUAACCAAAACAUAAACAGUGUCAACCUCAUGGCUUAUCAGCACAAACACAUCAUAAGACCACCAUAACAUCACAUGUUAACCUCUAAACAUUUACUAACAAGGCAUUUAUUAAUUUAGUUCUAUAAAGGGACAUAAUCACAAAAUACUAGCAAAAGUACUCAGAAAAAUCUACAAAAAUUACAGAAGCACAAGCAUAGCGUUAUGACAGCACCAUAAAAAUUUCAAAGCAAUUGCACAUGCCAAACUUAAGAUAAGCAUUUAACAUGUGACAAGGUGUUUAUUUCAUAAAUUCAGAAACAUAGCUUAUAUGGUGUCAAACAACAGAUGUCAGAUUAUUUACAUACUACUACUAUCAUAAAGGAAGCAAGCCAAAUCUCAAACAUAAAUUACAUAUCACAGAUGCAGUACUCCAAAAAUCAUGAAAUAUUUAUCAAAGCACUCUAGUACCACAUAGAGACUACCAUAAAGAUUUCAUAGCAAAAUAAGCAGUAUAACAAGAGAUAUGAAUUUACUCAUGAAUAACAAGAUUAAAUCCUAAUAAAUACUUUUCCCAGAAAACAUGGUCCAUUUUAUAUUUUUAAUAAAAACUAGCCCUCUCAAGGAACAUCACAAAAUAAGUUUCACAAUUUUUGGGUCAACAGAACCAGAGAUAUGAUUUUUGCAAGAAAGCCAAAAACCUGGAUUUGAAUAAAAGAAUAGGAGGGAAACAAGUGUCACUGACAGCGGACCCCACGCAUCAGGAUCUUCUCCCUCACAGCUGAGGCGACUCUCGCCGGCGAUUUCUCCGCGACGGCGAGGUCUCCGGCAAAGCCAAGGGCACCAACGUGAUCCCCAGACCUUUGCGACUCGAUUGACCCCCUUUUCCCCACGGCAGAGCCACCGGAAGGGGCUCGCCGUCGAUCAUGGCGGCUCGGCGGAGAUGCUCCGCGUUACGCCGGAGCUUUCAGUCCGGUAGAGCGUGACCUAGGGUUUCCUAUAGCACCAGCGGCCUACGGCGAAGCUUCCUAGGUCGGUGACUUGGCUUGAAAUGGCGUGGAACACGCUGGCCACGAGAGACCCCAACUCCGGCGGAAACACGGCGGCGCUACGCAUCGUGUCCGGCGACGGUGAGCGCGGUAGAGCAUCCACCAAGAAGCGCAAACGCUCGCUAAGGACCUAAGCUACCUCUAGGACCUAACCAGAGGAGACGAGAGGCUCCGAGGAACUCAGCAUUGAGUUCGCCGGAGAAGAAGGUCACGGCGACCCGAUUUGGGGGAAGAAGGAAAUGGCGGCUCACCGGUGGGUUUCACGGCGAGUUAGCGGGUGGAGAGUGGAGAGCGGUUCACGGUGGAGCUGUGGGCGAAGUUUGGUGGACUGCGACGCCGCGAGGAGCGCGUACGAGCUCGCCGGAGUGAGCUCGCGACGGUGAGCUCGCUGCGGCCGCGUUUCUGGCGAGAGAGGGCGAGGCAGAGAGAAAUGGACAUGUCCACUUCGCUCGGGACGUCGCCGUGGAGGACAUGCGCGCGCUUGGAGCUGACGAGCGGGGCCAGGAACGACGUACGGAUGACAAAUGUCGCCGUUGCUCUGCCGCCGGUCGGCCACGUCGGCGAGCUCAAUUUUGAUUCAGACAAAACGAUGGCUGACUGACAGAGCUACUUUGACAACGAUUAACUCCCAAACUAGAGCGAGUUAGGAGAUGAUGUAGUUGACAAAGUUGGAGUACUAACUAAGUUCUACAACUUUGUAAACUGGAGCAAAAGCUAGAUCGGCCUGGAUUGAGAGGUAUGAAGUUUUCAAAAUCGAUCGAGCAAACUGUUUGUGUUCCCGGACUUAGAAAAUUUUCCAAGUGUUGGAAACAGCCCCAAAUCUGCCUUGUGGUUCACUUUUGAGCUAGUUGUGAUCAUUUUCAUGAGAUGGCCAUAAAACAACUUUUGUUCCUUAUAAAAUUUGCUACAACUGUGCUGUAGAAAGCUUUGACAUGCAAACACUUUAUGAAAUACUUUUUAAAAGCCUAAGCAAAAGAGGUUUCUAGGGCCUAUUUGUGUAAGUAUGUCUUAAGUGAUUAUUUUGGAGAAGUGAUCAACAUGAACAUUGUUCCAAAUGUUGAGUUAAGCAUAGAUAGACUAAUUCCCAAGGCAUAGAGCACAAAUACAAGCAUGGUACACUCCAACACAAGCCUAGGAAGCCUAUGUAGACAACUUAAAUCACAUUUUACAUAGAAUGACAUGGCUCAAGGUAGAUGAUGAUCAUGAUAUGCUUGAGUAGAUGAUGAUGCUCAUGUUAUGCAUGUGAUUUAUGCAACCAUAACACUGGGGUGUUACAGCCCUCCCCCCUUACAAAAAUCUCGUCCCGAGGUUUGAAAGCUUACUGAUUUUCAAAGAAUGUUUUGUAAACUUCUUUCAUAUAAUCCUUGGUUUCCCAAGUGGCAUCUUCCUCCCCGUGGUUACUCCACAACACCUUGUAGAAUUUAACCACACGAUUACGAGUCACCCAUUCCUUGCGGUCAAGAACCGCUAUAGUUUUUUCUUCAUACACCAAGUCAGAUUUCAACUUGAUAUCCCGAACUUCCACUCGUUCCUCCAGAACACGAAGGCACUUCUUCAAUUGUGAUACGUGGAAGACAGGGAAAAUAGCUCGGAGCUCAACUGGUAGUUGAACUUUGUAUGCCACAUCCCCUUUCCUUUCAAGAAUCUGAUAGGGUCCCACAUAACGAGGUGCAAGCUUUUGCUUGACUCCGAACCUUUGUACGCCCUUCAUCGAAGACACCUUCAUAUACACAUGGUCACCGACUGCAAACUCAAUCGGCUUCCUUCUUUUGUCAACAUAACUUUCUGACGAGCUUGAGCAGCUUCCAGAUGUUGCUAGAUGGUACGGACUUGCUGCUCUGCUUCGUUCACGAAAUCGAUGCCAUAAUACCUGCGUUCCCCGAAUUCCACCCAAUUCAACGGGGUUCGACACUUCCGACCAUACAGGGCUUCAAAUGGAGCCAUCUUGAUACUCUCCUGAUAACUAUUGUUCUAAGAGAACUCAGCUAAUGGCAACCACUUAACCCAAGAACCUUUGGAAGAGAGAGCACAUGCCCUCAACAUGUCUUCUAGGAUUUGGUUAACCCGUUCAGUUUGACCUGCCGUUUGGGGAUGAUAAGCCGAACUACGGACUAAAUGAGUGCCAAUCUGCUCAUCUAGACAUUCCCAUAAACAGGCAGUGAACUGUGGUCCACGAUCUAAUAUGAUAGUUCGAGGCACACCAUACUGACGGACAAUGUGCUCGAAAUACAACUCCGCAUAUUGAUGUGAAUGAUAGUCAGUUCGAACUGGAAUAAAAUGAGCAACCUUGGUCAAACGAUCUACAAUCACCCAGAUAGAGUUGUAACCCUUAACAGAAGUUGGGAGCCCAAUGAUGAAAUCCAUGCUGACUUCUUCCCAUUUCCAACCCAGAAUUGACAAUGGUUGAAGCAAACUAGCUUUCAUGUGAACGGACUUCACGCGACAACAAUUGUCACAGCGAGCGACAAAAGCAGCAAUUUCCUUUUUCAUCUUUGUCCACCAAAACAGAGGCUUCAGAUCCUGAUACAUCUUGCUACUACCAGGAUGGAUAGACAAUUUAGAUGAAUGAGCUUCAGAUAAGAUCUGAUUUCGUAGCUCACGGUCUUUUGGGACCACUAGUCGAUCGUUGAACCAAAGAAUUCCGUUGUCAUUGACCCGAAAAUGCUUGGUUUCUUCUUCUUUCAUUUUCCUCUUUAUAUGGUGGAUGCCUACAUCUGUUUGCUGCAAUUCGAUGAUUCAACUGCAAAGAGUAUUCUCCAGAGAAAUCUGGUUGAGCACAAGUGGAUGCAUAAGAUGUGACAACAAUGGAUCUUCCACCUGAACUGAGUGACAGUGCGCUUUCCGACUCAAGGCAUCCACAACCACGUUUGCCUUGCCUGGAUGAUAGUGUACUUGUAGAUUAUAAUCUUUAAUCAACUCAAGCCACCUUCGCUGCCGCAUGUUCAACUCAGGUUGAGUGAAGAUGUACUUGAGGCUCUUAUGAUCGGUGUAGAUAUUGCAUAGAUUACCCAGCAAAUAGUGCCUCCAGAUUUUUAAAGCAUGAACAACUGCCACCAAUUCUAAGUCAUGAGUAGGGUAAUUGACCUCAUGCUUCCGAAGUUCGCGCGAUGCAUAAGCGAUAACACGACCUUCUUUCAUCAGCACACAGCCUAAACCAAUACCCGACGCGUCACAAAAGACAUCGAAGGGCUUUUCGAUAUCAGGUUGAGCUAGGACAGGAGCUGAUGUCAGCAAUGUCCUCAACUUGUGGAAUGCCUCUUCGCACUCAGGCGUCCACACAAACUUCUCAUCUUUCUGAAGUAGACCAGUCAUAGGCUUGGAUAUCUUUGAAAAUUCUAGAAUGAAUCGACGAUAAUACCCAGCCAGACCGAGAAAACUCCGAACCUCGUGUACCGAAGUUGGAACCUUCCAAUCCAGCACUUCUUGCACCUUAGCCGGAUCCACCGAUAUGCCUUCUUCAGAUAAGACAUGGCCCAAGAAAGGUACUUUCUUUAGCCAAAACUCGCAUUUGCUGAAUUUUGCAUAAAGCUGAUGCUCACGCAAACGCGACAAUACCACACGCAGAUGCUCUGCAUGCUCCUCUUCAUUGCAAGAAUAUACCAGGAUAUCAUCAAUGAAGACCACCACAAACUUGUCCAAUUCGGGCAUGAACACUGAGUUCAUGAGUUUCAUGAAGUGAGCAGGUCCAUUCGUAAGACCGAAGGACAUGACGAGAUACUCAUACAACCCAUACCUCGUCGAGAAAGCUGUCUUAGGCACAUCUUCAGGACGGAUAUUGAUCUGAUGAUACCCAGAUCGUAAAUCAAUCUUGGAGAAUACCUUCGCUUUAGACAACUGAUCAAACAAGAUAUCAAUGCGAGGAAGAGGGUAUUUAUUCUUGAUGGUCACCGCAUUCAGGGGACGAUAGUCCACACACAUGCGCAAGGACUGAUCCUUCUUCUUCACAAAGAUAGCCGGACAACCCCAAGGAGAAGAACUAGGAUGGAUAAGACCCUUCUUCAACAACUCAUUCAAUUGGGUCUUAAGCUCAGCUAGCUCAUUUGGUGGCAUUCUAUAAGGUCUUCUAGAGAUAGGAGCGGUACCUGGAAUCAAUUCAAUUUUGAACUCCACAUCCCGAUCUGGAGGAUGCCCGGGUAAAUCAUCAGGAAAUACAUCCGGGAACUUACACACCACCAGAAUAUCCUGGACGGCCUUAGCUGUAACUGCAUUCACAGUGCUACGGAUAUGGGUAUCUCGAGGAAGUUGCUCUAAGAACGCUUCCCUGGUAUUUGGGUCUCUCAAUAUCACUACACGAGUGGUGGUGUCGAUAAGAACUCCGUUACCACUCAUCCAAUUCAUACCAAGAAUUACAUCUAUGCCCACACCGGGUAAGACAACCAGAUCAGCAAGAAACUGACGGCCUCCAAUUUCCAGAGUUGCCCCAAAAACCACUUGAUUGGUAGAAAUAUCAUUCCCAGCAGCACUAAUGCAAUAACUACCCUUAUCAAGUGUAUUUGCCUUGAGAUUAUGCUUAGACACAAAGUCUGAACUCACGAAAGAAUGCGAUCCUCCUGAAUCAAAAAGCACAAGUGCAUCACAUUGGUUAACCAAAAACUUACCAGCCGUAACUACCUCACCAGUAGGGAUUGCCUCCACAGUUGUGUAGUGAACACGCCCCUGGCGGACGUUCCCUUGGUUGCCCUUCUUAAGAGGGUAAGGACAAUUGCUCUGCCAAUGCCCGGUCUGAUUGCAGUUCCAGCAUGGACGGUUGGCAGGUGGAGUCUUGGCAUAGCUGGGACCCGUGUUACCCCUAGGAAGAGCAAUGGAGUAACCCUUGCGGAAACCCGUCUUCGCCUGAUUCUUCUUCACAGGCAGGCGAUACCGCUGGUUAGGAGUUGGAGCAUGGUUCGGUGGCCUCACUGCCACUGGAGCCUUGGAUUGAGAUGCCCCAGCCCUAGCCUCAAAAGCCCUCUUGCGAGUCUUGGUCGCAGUAUACACAGUGUUGUAGUUCUCUUGGGUAAGAGCAUCACUGACAAACUCAUUGAAAGUUGCACACUUAGUGCGGCCCAUAGUUUUCAGCAACUUGGGGCCGAGACCCCGUUGAAGCUAGCAAUCUUCUUUGUCUCAGUGUUCACAAACUCAGGAGCAUACCUUGACAGGUGAUUGAAAGCAUGCAAGUACUCCUUCAGAGUUUUGUUGCCCUAAGUCCACUGCAUAAACUCGGUAUGCUUCAUCUCCAUGACACCAGGAGGAAUGAAAUGCCCCUUGAAAGCUUCACGGAAAAGAUUCCAGUCAAGCACAGUGUCGGCUGGAAGAGCUUCUCAAUACUGAUUCCACCAGAUGCCUGCUGGACCUUGCAGUUGGUGAGCUGCAUACUCUGCCUUCAAACCCUCAAUCAGCUGAAGCAACCGGAAAUUUUGUUCCACCGUGUUCAGCCAUUCCUCAGCUUGAAGGGGCUGUUCAGCCUCUCUAAAAGGUGGGGGCUUCAUAUCCAUGAUGUCCUUGAAGCUACUGUACUGGUUAGGUGCUGGCCCUUCUAGUGCAUUACGACCACCCUGAUUUGCCAUCCGGUUGAUGGUCUAAGUGAGCAUCCUCUGGUUUUCCACCAUCAUUUGCAUCAGCUCAGCUAGAUUUGGUGGUGGAGGAGGAGGGGGUGGGUUCAUGUUCGCACGCUGUUCCGCACCUCGAGUGCCAUGAGACAUCUGUAAAGAUACAGUCAGUGAGCAUUGAUGAUGACAAGACUUGCUGUAGAAGAAAUUAUAUUUAUGCCUGAAAGUAUUCGAGAGAAUAGCUUUACAGAAAAAGGCACAAUAAUUCAAUUCCACAAAAAAACAUCACCAAUCAAACAUAUGACAGAGACAUCUGUAAUAUGCACCACAACGGAAAAUAUCAUCACAACAGAUCGAACAUGUUAAGGUUACACCUUGGGUCCAUAAAGUUAUUACACCAUCUCAGUACAUGACAUAAGGCAAAGAUCAAGGUUCCAGAUUACAUCAUGAUUACAAAAGCACCACUGCUAACUGCCAAACUACAAAAGAUCCUCACAUAACAACUACCUACUACUCACUACACUCCAUGCUCGUCGUCCAAAUCAGCGUCGAUGAUUGCCUCUCCAUCCUCGUCGCUAACUGGCUCAAGCUCCUCGUCCUCCACAUCCUCGUGCAAGGGUGGUGCAGCCGCUGCUGGUCCAUCUACCUCCAUACCAUCAUCAUCGGCCACAAUCACCUGAGGUCCCACCUCUGGAUACACGGGCACAGGGCGAGGAAUAGGGUGUAGCAAGUUGUUGAGACGGUGAAUCUCCACAAGACUUGCCUCAAUCUGAUCAUGUAGAUAGUUCUCCCGCUCAAGCGACUGAACCCGGUGCAUCUCCCAUGCCCGGCGCCUGUUCUCUGACACACGGAGUGCAGUAUCCCUCUCACGAGUGACCUGCACCAAGCGCUCCUGCACUGUCACCUUCUCUCUAGCCAACUAACUCAUUUGAUCCUACUUAUGAUCUCUCUCCCUAAUGGCCUUCACCCGCUGCUGCCUACGGUACUCUGCAAUGUCUUCCCAGUCAUUGCGGUCCUUCUGAGCUUGCUCCAGGAGUCUAGCUUGCUUGCGAAACUUGCGAGCACGCUUUUCAGCCUUCUGUUGCAUCUCCUGAGCCUGGCGAACAGCCAUCAUCACCUGUGCAUAAGUAUCCUCUUGCUGACUGAACAGCUUGAGCACAGCCAUCAUAGUACUCAUAGCAGGACUAGAACUCUCAGCUCUCUCUCCCCUGCCUCGGACCAACGCACAACCAUCAGCCUGCUUCCACUCUGCUGCUGCUGGGUCAGCACGGGGAAUGGAGGCCGCUGGUCCUCCUAUCAGCUCAUCGCCAAACCUCUGACAGAUAUUGAGGAGCAUAGCCUGGGCUGCAACCUGAGCUGCUUCCAAAGGAGUCUGCCCAUCUGAGUUACAGGUCCACCCUGUCAAUGCAAGCCUGCCCCCAUGUGGAGGGACAACUCACUGCACAGGAAACCACUGCAACUCUCCUAUCAUAUCCACCUCCCACCAAGAAUACUGAGGUGGCUCAGUAUACCCCACAGACUGUAGCACUCUCCAAAGCAAGGUAGGAGUGCCAAACUCGCUCAAGAAAGUGUCACUGGGGCGAGGUGAAGCUGGCACGUCCAUCUGUGGAAAGGAAUGGGAAUACCAUGGGUAAGAGAGGAUUAAUUUUAAGCAACAUUUAUUAAUUAAAAGGGACGACAUGGUAAGGGAAGGAGUAGACAGAAUGUAUGUAUGAAUGCGACAUGAUGCAUGCACGAACCGUACGUCCUCAUAAACUUAGAAAAUUAAUAUUCUAGCGGAUAUACGGUGGCAUACAUUCGUCUCUCGAUACGAUAUCUAGCGAAUUACAUGUGCGCUGUUAGAGUACCUGCAAAAAACUUCAUUGCAGCCCAACAGUUCCCAAUAUAUCAAUUAAGAAAGCAGUAAACUAAGUGCACAUUGCUUGGACAUGCCCAACAUGCACAAACAAUGACACCACAGCUACCUAGAAUAUUUAAAUGCUCCCCAAUUAAGUUUCUUUCGUGGUUCCAUGGUUUUGACAUGUAACCACUCCAGAAAACCACCGCGAACACUCCCCUAGACCGCCGUUUGGACGAUCAUGCUCUCACAGCUCACACUUACUAGAGCAUAGGUGCGACGUUGCAUGAUUUAAAUCUAGCGACAUAUGUGGCUAAUUCACAUAUGAAGGCUACCUCUACCAUUAGACCACAGGGUAGCAUAGUGCGGUCAUCACACAUCCAUACCUGAGUACUGCCGGAGAUGCAUAAUUAAAACCCCCCAAGUCAGUACUUAAUUAGCCAUCUAUAGUCCUUAUAUGAGCAAGGAGGAUUCGACCACUGGCAUAACUUAAGUAUUGAUUUACAACAUUUUAUUUUAAAAACUCUUUGUUUUCAAAUACACAAACGCUGCAUUUAUAAUGUUGAACUUGCUCUGAUGCCAGCUGUCACAGAACCGACCAAAUUAUAAGAGUUCAAGUGUAGAAACGAUCGACAAGCAAUCAAGUUUCCAAACUUGAGCCCAUAUAAUCCCGGUAGUCAACUGAAAUCACGAAGGACUUCAGACCAACUUGCAACAAACCAAGAUCGUAAUAGUUCAACACAAACACAGCGAAUGUUACAUAGUCAUUCAUUGCCGACGAAGCGGCACCACAUCGGAGUUAUUAAGUUAUUACAACAAGGGUUCACGUAGCGGAAGUAAAAUAAUUACACACACUUUUCAAAGUUCAUUUCAUAGGUUCUUGUUCAGCUAGGGUCUCAUGCCGUCCAUCCAAAAGCAACAGAUACGAAGUGGUUAGAGGACCGUGCCCAACGGUUAGUCCUCAUCCCCAGCGGGAUGGAGACAGAUCUUGCAGAAGCCAUCAUAAAAGAUAUCAUCUGCAACAGGUGGGAAUAAACCCUGAGUACGAGGAUGUACUCAGCUAGACUUACCCGUCUAGUAAAACAUAAAAGACACCAAGGAUCAUGCAAGGCUAAUAUCAAGUAGAGCUGGUUGACUCAACAUUUGCCAAAAGCUUAAAUUAUAACUAAAAUAUUGUGGAAGCAUCAUAUUUAAUCAUCAUCAGCCUACCACUAGAUUAGCACCUGUACUAAAGCACUUCACUUGAUUAUUGCAAGCAAUAAUAACCAUAUCAAAUUCAUCAUAUGUCUUCCUUGCUAUCAUCAAUAUCAUGAACCAAGUUCAUUAGUGAAUGCUACGUUUGCCGCUGCUCUGUCAAGUUCUUACUAACCGGGAGAGACAGCCAUUCGAAUCGAAUUCCUAUCCAGCUGGAGGGGUAUUCCUAGCACUCACCCAAGCAUCCCCCGUCGGAGAGCCAACAGGUCACCUUUGGUACGACUCAGGAAUCGCGGUUCCGAUCAGCGCCGCACUCCCAGGGCUACCACUCUGCCAGGGAGGUCAGGAAUUUUAACUCACCUGCCUUUGGACUUACGCCAAUGGUCCACCCGCACACCGCACUUCCUCCGGUAGUGCGCACUUUAUACUUAUCGACCUUCCGGCGUGAGUCGUAUUACUCGGCUUCGCGGUCGGAAUGAGUUAUCCGGCCAACUAAGUGUCAGGCAUGCGUUCAACAUGACAAGAGGACGUACAACGGUCGGUCCUUAGCUGCCACAGAUGGAGUUACUACAACCUUGCAAACCUCCGCCCGGUUUAAGUCAAUUUAAUCAGGUUCCACCCACGAUAGCACAUAUAGUCCAUCGUGAUCCGACAUAACCCUAUAUCGCGCAGGUGACAGGAUAUCACCCGACUUCUACCGGUUAAAGCAUGGCUAAGCUGCUACUCGAUCCUAACUCUAUAACCAGGUAGUGAUAAGAUUUCUGGACAAGGAUGGAGUAAAAUGCAGUAAAGGUUUCAUCACAACUCCUAUACUUAAUGCAUCAGUAGGUAUAACAUAUUCAAACGAACUUUCGAAAAUAAAGGGAGACUUAGGAUGCUCCGAGGCUUGCCUUUCAUGAACGAAGCUGGCUCAUGAUUUGGGCACUCAACUUCUUCUUCGGGCUCCUCGAGUCCGGCUUGCUGGACCUCCACCUCCGGGUUGCCCUCCUGUUCUUCAGGGUUGACUUGAAACUCGUAGGAGGCGGUCACGUCCGGUGCACCUAUUGCAUACUCGAUGAAUAAGAAAGUGUGCAUACUAAAGGAUGAAUGCUUGACACAUAAUUAAACUCACUGGACACUCAUUUAUGGAGUAACUGUCAUAACAAGUUCACACAAGAUGAUAAAUUAAAUUAGCCAAAACCUAUCAAGUUACUAUCACAGCAAGCAUUACAUAACAGAGUUAGCUCAGUAAACAGAUCAUAACUAAUGCUAGACAGAUCCAACAAACAUGAGUGAGAACAUUCUGGAAAGCUUAUGAAAUUGCCUACAAAUCAUCUUUAAACAUCACAGCAAGAUUCAUAAGUUAAACAAGCCAUUUAAACAAAGUUCCAGGUUCUGUCCCAGAAAAACAGAAAGCACCUAUUUCUGGAAUCCAACUUGAAACAGCCAUAACUUUCAAACUACUGAACCAAAUGAUCCCAAAUUUAAACCACAGCUAGUUUAUAAAGUUUACAACAACUUUGAUUUAGAUAAGUUUCCCAGAAAACUCAGUUAUCAUUAAGCAAAAGCUAAAAUACUUUCUUGCUGUCCAGAACAGCUUUUAACCCACCAAUUAAUUAUUUGAUGACAUAACCAAAACAUAAACAGUGUCAACCUCAUGGCUUAUCAGCACAAACACAUCAUAAGACCACCAGAACAUCACAUGUUAACCUCUAAACAUUUACUAACAAGGCAUUUAUUAAUUUAGUUCUAUAAAGGGACAUAAUCACAAAAUACUAGCAAAAGUACUCAGAAAAAUCUACAAAAACUACAGAAGCACAAGCAUAGCAUUGUGACAUCACCAUAAAAAUUUCAAAGCAAUUGCACAUGCCAAACUUAAGAUAAGCAUUUAACAUGUGACAAGGUGUUUAUUUCAUAAAUUCAGAAACAUGGCUUAUACGGUGUCAACCAACAGAUGUCAGAUUAUUUACAUACUACUACUAUCAUAAAGAAGUGGGACACCAAAGUAUAGCACCAGCAUAAGCACCUAUUAUUUUAUAUGAUUUAAUUAAGGAAACUAGCCAAAUCUCAAACAUAAAUUACAUAUCACAGAUGCAGUACUCCAAAAAUCAUGAAAUAUUUAUCAUAGCACUCUAGUACAACACAGAGACUACCAUAAAAAUUUUAUAGCAAAAUAAGCAGUAUAACAAGAGAUAUGAAUUUACUCAUGAAUAAAAUGAUUAAAUCCUAAUAAAUAUUUUUCCCAUAAAACAUGGUCCAUUUUAUAUUUUUAUUAAAAACUAGCCAUCUCAAGGAACAUCACAAAAUUGGUUUCACAAUUUUUGGAUCAACUGAACCAGAGAUAUGAUUUUCGCAAGAAAGCCAAAAACCUAGAUUUGAAUAAAAGAAAAGGAGGGAAACAAGUGUCACUGACAGCGGACCCCACGCGUCAGGUUCUUCUCCCUCACAGCCGAGGCGACUCUCGCCGGCGAUUUCUCCGCGACGGCGAGGUCUCCGGCCAAACCAAGGGCACCAACGUGAUCCCAAGACCAUUGCGACUCGAUUGACCCCCUUUUCCCCACGGCGGAGCCACCGGAGGGGCUCGCCGUCGAUCAUGGCGGCUCGGCGGAGGUGCUCGGCAUUACGCCGGAGCUUUCAGGCUGGUAGAGCAUGACCUAGGGUUUCCUACAGCACCAGAGGAUUACGUCGAAGCUUCCUAGGUCGGUGACUUGGCUUGAAACGACGUGGAACACGCUGGCCACGAGAGACCCCAACUCCGGCGGAAACACGGCGGCGCUGCGCAUCGUGUCCGGCGACGGUGAGCGCGGUAGAGCGUCCACCAAGAGGCGCAAACGCUUGCUAAGGACCUAAGCAACCUCUAGGACCUAACCAGAGAAGACGAGAGGCUCCGAGGAGCUCAGCAUUGUGUUCGCCGAAGAAGAAGGUCACGGCGACCCGAUUUGGGGGAAGAAGGAAAUGGUGGCUCACCGGUGGGUUUCACGACGAGUUAGCAGGUGGAGAGUGGAGAGCGGUUCACGACGGAGCUGUGGGCGAAGUUUGGUGGACUGCGACGCCAUGAGGAGCGCGUACGAGCUCGCCAGAGUGAGCUCGCGACGGUGAGCUCGCUGCGGGCGCGUUUCUGGCGAGAGAGGGCGAGGCAAAGAGAAAUGGAUGCGUCCACUUCGCUCGGGACGUCGCCGUGGAGGACAUGCGCGCGCUGGGAGCUGAUGAGCGGGGCCAGGAAUGACGUACGGACGACAAAUGUCGCCGUUGCUCUGCCGCCGGUCGGCCACGUCGGCGAGCUCAAUUCUGAUUCAGACAAAACGAUGGCCGACUGACAGAGCUACUUUGACAAUGAUUAACUCCCAAACCAGAGCGAGUUAGGAGAUGAUGUAGUUGACAAAGUUGGAGUACUAACUAAGUUCUACAACUUUGUCGACUGGAGAAAAGGCUAGAUCGGCCUAGAUUGAGAGGUAUGAAGUUUUCAAAAUCGAUCGAGCAAACUGUUUUUGUUCCCGGACUUAGAAAAUUUUCCAAGUGUUGGAAACAGCCCCAAAUCUGCCUUGUGGUUCACUUUUGAGCUAGUUGUCAUCAUUUUCAUGAGAUGGCCAUAAAACAACUUUUGUUCCUUAUAAAAUUUGCUACAACUUUUCUGUAGAAAGCUUUGACAUGCAAACAUUUUAUGAAACACGUUUUAAAAGCCUAAGCAAAAGAGGUUUCUAGGGCCUAUUUGUGUAAGUAUGUCUUAAGUGAUUAUUUUGGAGAAGUGAUCAACAUGAACAUUGUUCCAAAUGUUGAGUUAAGCAUAGAUAGACUAAUUACCAAGGCAUAGAGCACAAACACAAGCAUGGUACACUCCAACACAAGCCUAGGAAGCCUAUGUAGACAACUUAAAUCACAUUUUACAUAGAAUGACAUGGCUCAAGGUAGAUGAUGAUCAUGAUAUGCUUGAGUAGAUGAUGAUGCUCAUGUUAUGCAUGUGAUUUAUGCAACCAUAACACUGGGGUGUUACAGUUGCCGGGGAAGGUUGAUUACUAAUAAGGAAUGAAUACGGAAUUUCGAGUCAUCAUUCGCAUCACUAAAAUGAUUGAGAUUAUCAGUUCUCUCAUACAGUUUUACCCCUGUAUUUUUCUAUUUUGAUUUUUUUUAUGCAGGGUAAUGUAUGAAUAGAAGACAUCUUCAAGGAAAUUUUGUUGACAAUCUCGAAGCAUUAUUCAGAAAAACAAGAGCCAAGCUCAAGAAGAAAUCGUCAACACUUCAGCAGGAAACUUCAUCCAACCAAGAAGUUUCAUCCGGAACUUGUCUUCAGAAUUCGAAGUCAUGGCGAACAAAUCAAUCCGCGAGUUCUCAGCUCUCACUAUGGACAACAUCUGCACUGGACCUGCUGUAGAGAUCGACGACAACUUUGAGCUCAGGCCUAGACUUAUCAACAUGGUGCAAUCCAACCAGUUCUGUGGGAAGGCACACGGAGAUGCUAGUGCUCAUCUCCAACACAUCCUGGAGAUUUGUAGCACAUUCACCAUAUCAGGAGUCCCCAGAGAUGCUAUACUACUUCGCCUCUUCCCAUUCUCAAUGUUGGGGAGAGAGAAGCAGUGGUUCUAUGCUACAAAAGAGAAGAAUACUACAUGGGCACUCUGUUCCAUGAACUUUCUGGCUAAGUUCUUUCCCAUGGGCAAGACCAAUGCUCUCCGUGGGAAAAUUACAAGUUUUCAGCAACAACAUGAUGAAUCCGUUCCAGAAGCAUGGUAGCGCUUCCAAGACUACAUCCUAGAAUGUCCCCAUCAUGGAAUGGAGAGCUGGCUACUGAUGCAGGUGUUUUAUCUUGGGCUCGGGAAUAGUGCCCGUGAGACCAUGGAUGCUGCAGCUCGAGGAGCAUUCCUAUCACUCACCAUACCACAAGCCAUAGCUCUUGUGGAGAAGAUGGCGUCCAACCAAGGCCGGAAUGAAGAAAGGACCUAGACACGCAAGAGAGGUGGAGGUAUGCACCAACUCAAGGAAGUAGACAUGCUGUCUCCCAAGCUAGACCUGCUCAUGAAGAAGCUCGAUGAUAGAGAUGGAGAUAAGAAAGAAGUCAUGCACGUUUACGACUCUCACAUGACUUGUGAAGAGUGUGGAGAUACUGGACACUCAGGCAAUCGCUGCUCUGAGAUGCUUUAGGACGUGAACUACAUCAACAACAACUACUACUACAACCGUCCUCAACAAAAUCAAGGUUGGAACCAACAGAGGCCUAACUACUCAGGUAAUUAUCAAGGUAACAAUUCUUACAAUAAUAAUAAUAAUUUUCCACCUGUGAGAGAGUUCGUGUCUAAUCAAGGAAAGCUAAUGGAUAACCUAUCUAAGAAAUUGGCAUCUAAUGAUAAAAUGUUAGAAAAUAUAAAUAAUAGAAUGGAUAAUUUCUCUACUGCAAUCAAGAAUCAAAUUAGCUUUAAUAAAAUGAUUGAAUCUCAGUUAAAUCAAAUAGCUACUGUUGUUCCUGCUACUAACCCCGGUAUACCAUCACAACCGGAAGGAUUAGAAUCUGCAAAUCUUGUAGACAUGUUUGAUACAGGUAACUACUGGAGUAACCUCGUUGCGGAAGUAACUACUGACCUUCUGCCGGUCAAGAGAUGCGAUCCAGGACGCCCCGUCAUCCCGAUCUCCAUCGGCAUGGUGGACUUCCCAGAAGCACUCUGCGACUUUGGGUCUAGUGUCAACAUUAUGCCCAGGGUACUCUAUGAAAAAUUCUUUACAUAUCCUUUAUUAGAAACAACCAUGUGUUUGCAGCUUGCAGAUCGGACACUAAGUUUCCCAAAGGGGAUAUUGAAGAACCUCUACGUCCAAGUUGGUACUUUAUACGCCCCAGCAGACUUCGUGGUGAUAGAGACCGGUAAUGAUGAGAGGGCACCUGUCAUCUUAGGGAGGCCAUUCCUGGACACCUCAGGAGCUGUCAUCUAUGCUAGUGCUGCCAAGAUCAGUUUCUACAUCAAAGGGAGGAAGGAGACGUUUUCCUUCAAGAACAAGACUACACAAAUCCUAGAGCAAUCCAGACAAGAACCAAGGAAGAGGACCAACAGGAGGAACAGGAACAAGCAAGUAUGGACCGAGUCAGCUAAGAUGGUCACUACAAUUCAUGGAGGUCAAGAUUGUCGACUUAAGUCACUGUUCCUGACCAAGAAGGAUGACCCAGGUAUGCAAAGCAUUCAUUGCUCCAUUAAUGGGUACAACUUCUACAAGACGCUUUGCAAUACCGGGUCAGGUGUCAACAUAAUGGCCGCAGUCACCUAUCGGCUCUUGUUCGGAACCAUGCCCCUAAAACCGACAUACAUUCAGCUCUAGAUGGCAGAUCAAACAUUUUGAAAUGUUGAAGGUAUAGUAACUGACGUCCCUGUCAAAAUAGACGAUCAUUUUGUCCAUACAGACUUUCAGGUUAUUGACAUGGGAGAAGACGAGUACGAUCCACCCAUCAUCCUUGGGGGACCUUUCCUCGGCACUGUUAAAGCAAUCAUCUACAUUGGAACUAUAGAAGUCCACGCACUUCCCCUCGGAGAAGGUACGCCGCUAUUUUACUGACCCUAACUAUAUAGUUGAAGACUCUAAAUAGGUCAGGACAAGAAGAAGACGACGCAACCGCAACCAGAGGAGGAAAAUCAUCAAGGACGGAUGGGCAGACUACGAAGGAGAAGUGGUAAGGUCUGAGGACAUACGGCUUGAACAGAAUUGUCCUAAGGAGACCGUAACACCGAGUUAGGUGUGGAGAGAGAAGAUAGUUAUACACGAAGAGGAGGCGCCACCGGAACCACCGACUACGCCAUCCAACAAAUCCUAGGACGACUGAGAAAACAUAGAGUCCCGUUCGGAGGACUUUAAAACACCGAACGCGUUGCCAAGAGGUAAACUUGGUAGUUAUCCUUUUCCUUUCAAUUAUUUAAAUAGUUUGCUUAGUUAAUCAGGUUCAUAUCAUCUUGAAAAGAAAAAAAUAAAAAUGUUAAAACCAGUAAGCCCCAUGUGAGUAUACAAGUGACAUAAAACCCAUAAGUACAUUCACUAUGGUGGCAUAAAAAAUAAUAAAAUAAAAGUAUUAUUCUGCUCUAUAAAAAUGAAAAUAUAAAAAUAAAUUUGUGAUCUUACCAAAGAAAGUAGUAUAUAUUGAGGAAUCUCAACGUGACAAUGGCUAGAUAUUUAUGCUAAUACCUAAUCAGUUCCACAAAGCUUUGUUGUCUACUUGAGCUCCACAGAAUUCAAGGAUCAAGAAGACUAGCAUACAGAGGACAUUCUAAUCGCUGUCAGGGUGCUGCCGACUUUCAAAUACACCUAUACCACCUGCUAUCUACAUCAAAAGAAAUUACAUCAAAAUCCAGCUUGGGGAGAGCACCCCAGUUAUCCCGUUAAGUAUUUCUAUCUAUAUACUUAUACUAUAUUAAAAUAAAAAUAUACAUAACCAUGAAAAACUAAAUAAAGAUUUUGUGCUUAUAUAUAUAUCUUUUGCUUAGUGUGCUUAAUAAAUAAAUAAAGUGUCUAUGCUAAACUGAAUCUUAAUAAAACUCUAGCAUGGAUAUGAUGAAUAGUUGCUGUGCCUAAUUUUCAAAUUUGAGUUAUCUCUCAAGUUUAGACAUAACUGUUAUAAUUUAAAGCUUGCUCUAAAUCUAAAUUUGUGGGAAGAGAACUUGAUCUGAAGUCUAAGUUGUUAACCGAUAUGAUAUGGGAAGGUUGAGCUGCUGUUUAUCUGUUCCUAGAGAUGCUAGAAUUCUGGAGAAUUUUUAUCUUUGAAAAUCUUUAAAAUAUCACAUGAUGAGUUCCUGUAUGAUGAGAGUUUAAAUUCCUACCACAGCUAUAUAUACAUGCUUGCCAGACUUUGAGCCACAAAUUUACUUUUUACUGCUCAUGAGUAUUGAGUGUGGUCAAGCUGUGUAGACCCUUAGGAGCUUGUCAUGUGGUUAAAUCAAGAUUCACUUGCACUUUUCACUCACAAAUGCUGCUUCUACUCCAGAAGUACGCAUCUAUAUAUAUCCACUCAUUUCCAUCUCUAGAGCCACCCAAAAGUUUUCUACUCCUAAUCCGGGAGAGAAUAGCCAAAAACAUUCUCCUAUUUGUGUUUUUCCCUGUGAAAUAAAUGCUCAAGUUAUCUUGGUUACUACCACUUGCUAUAUUAUUUUAGGAGAUGAGUGCUCUAAAAAAGAGAGAAAAAAGAUACGAGGAAAUAAAAAGGGGCAACUGCCUGGAACCUCGAAAGAAAAGAAAAAGUGAGACGAGAGGUAAAAAUCGACAUGUGUCCGACAGUAGAAUUAGGGGUACAAGAUACCCAUCUAAGAGGAAAGAAAAAAAAUAUAGAGCAUCUCAUUCUCCUCAAAAAAUUUUCAAAAGAGCAAGAUUGGUAUGUAUCCCCUCAAAAGAGCACAAGUAGAAUUAGACUUUCACCAUUGUUAUCACCACCAUCACCAUACAUUCGCCACACAUGCACAUCUUGAUUUGACUUAUUGACUUGUUUCUCUGGAUCCAUGGUUUGACUAUGCAAUAAAUGUCUUGUAAGUAUGUAUACUUUAUCUCCUACCUAUUAGCUCCAGAUAUCAAAAGCCUUAUUAGAGCAGGGUGAGAGAGAAGGCAAUAUCACUAUGCUUUAUACCACAAAUACUACAUACUUUGAGAGAAGGCAUAUACCAUCACUGCCUUGGUAAGGAUCCAGAAAUACCACAAAAGAGAGAUGUGAGAGAGUCAUACAAGGAAUCUCUGAGUUUUAUUUGAAAAUCUGCAAAAACUCUAGAGCUAUAGCUGAUCGAGAAUAAGAGACAUGGCGCUUGACUAGAUCGUUCUAUCUUUUAACUGCUCAAGACAGAAGUAACGGUUACAAGUCCCGUGGUGAAAGGUAAAAUGAGUAAGUUUUAAGUCUUGACGGUUGACUCUAACUCAGAGAUGAGACCUUGUUUGAAAGCAUGUGUACCAUCAAAACUCAAAGGCAUUACAGCAACUUCUGAUCCAUCACUGAGAUUAUCCUUGCUUAGGGACGAGCAAGAGGUAAGCUUGGGGGAGUUUGUUGAUGGUCUUUAAGUAUCAAAUAUAAUCAACAAAUAAACAAAGAAAAGGAUCCAAAUGCAACCGAUACACAGACUUAGGGUUUUAUCUGAUAGAAUUCCACGAGUUUUGGUGUUUGUCUAUUUCUGCAUUGGGUUAUCAAGAAAUAUGGAGGAAAGGCCCACACAUAGGGUUUACAUAGAGAUAUUAACGUGCACCGCAAUUAUCCAACAUCUAGAAGAGUCCAGAAGCCAUGGGAACGAGUGGGAGACCAAACGGGCCCGGGGGCAGGGCGCCCGCCCUCCCCCCUUGGGCGCCCGCCCUGGCCUGAGAGCCAAUCAUGCUCCACCUCACAGAUCAUGCUCCACCGACCUAAUGGAUUAAGGAAAACCAUGCGAUUAAGGUCGGUUUGAUCCCACGGUCCAUAUUCAUUUGGAGGGACUAUAUAAGUAGACCCCCUGGACCCUGGAGGAGACACCUCUGAAACCCUAAUUCAUUUAUCCAUCUCGGGAGAAGAAGUCUCUGAUCAAGCCCUAGAGCCACCAUAUCAACUAAAUCUCUAGUUUAGCAUUGCUACAUAGGAUUAGAACUAGAAGGAGUCAAUAUUUGAUUGGUUUUCGGAUCUGUCAAGAGGAUUCUUGGUAAUUCCUCUAUUGUUCUUCAUUUGUUCAUAAUUAUUCUUCAAUAUUAUGAAUAUGACUUUGUUCUACUUCAAUAUAUUGAUUAUGACUUUGCUCUACUUGUUUAUAUUUGCAAUUAUAUUGUUCUUAUUUUAUCAUAGUUAUAUGCUUGGCUUAGUUAGAUUGGAAUUAUAUACAUGUUUAGGAUCGUAUAGCAUUUAUCCAUGUGUAUAGUGGGUAAAUGAUAAGUAUUGUGUAGGCGUGGUGCCUAUACCGUAUUUAUCUGCGAUUGUACCCUAUAUGCCGGAUCGCGGGGUAGUUCGUCGUGGUGCCAACUCCAUGGAUUCUUAUAUAGUCUCCCUCUCGUGUAUAUGGCAGGUAGAGCAACAUUAUUAUAGGGGAGUGAUUGCUAUGUUUCUCAUUUUCCUUGAUAAUAUCACUAUGCAUGGGCGUAGUCCUGUCUCGCAAUGAUUGCCAAGUAUAAUUGCACUAACUAUGAUAUGCUAGACCUUAUAGUUAAGAAUAACUUAGGAAAUAUUCUUGUAGUUCUUCCUAAUUGCAUGCUAAUGACUUGCUAGAAUAUCUGUUGAGGUGCUUAUCAUUAUUAUAUGUGGCUAGUUAUGCUGAUCAAAUUAAUUAUCUUUGUCACCAUUCAUACUUUAUCUAUAUUUUAUGUGACAUUUAUCCCUGUAUGUAAGAGAUAGAUAAAUGCUCUCUAUUAUAUAUACAUUGAUAGAUACUCAAUUCCAUAUUCCAUUCCAUAAUCAACAUUGAUAAUUAGCAAUCCCUUCCCAGUGGUAAAAAUAUAAUAAUGAUACCUAGAAUACUUCCUGGUUAAAAUGCUACAUCGGUAUUAAUCUGUGCACUUGCAGAUCUCAUUUAUUAUUGAUUCAGAAGAGCAAUUGCAUAUUUCAAUACCACGUCUCUCAUGUCAUGCUGGGGAUGACAACUUGGCUUAAGUGGCAUGAGGGAUAUGUUUGGCAUUUUUGGCGCCGUUAUCAGAAUUAGAAAACUAAGUCUACUUUUGGUAAUGACGUUAAGAAUGCCCAAUGUUGAUAUUUGGUAACGCAAUAAGGAAUUGAUCCGCAAGCGCACGGAUAUCAAUGAGCAUUUCACCCGGGAGGUUAUCGAGAGUAUCGUAUUUAUAUUUUCACCACUGGGAGAAAGCGUGCAUCUGACUAACCAAAUCUAUUGCUACUACCCUUUAGGCUACAAAGAAUGUUUCUCGAUGUGAGCGAUGUAUAGAGAAGACUGCAACCGUAGUCUCGUUGUAACCUUGGUAAGGAUGAUCUAAUGUUCUAUUGGGGAAGCUUAUGGAAUCUAGACACCACAAAGGAUGUUCGACCCGCACCUAUAAACCCUAUCCGUCCUGCUAACAAGAUGUGGGCUGCAAAGGUAACUCGGAAAUGUCACGUUCCUCGCUACUACCACGGUCUAGCUAGUCAGGGGAUAUCUAUGAGUACCCUAGCCCAAACACCACUGUUGACACCAUUUUUGGACACGUAUCCAGGAUCGGUAGAAUGUAGGUCGGCAAGAUUGGGUGGCAAUAUUUGGUCUGCGGAAGAUGUUGCUGGUGAAGAUAUUUGCCGAUGAAGGGGUAACCGAAUAUGACUAAGUCCAUAGGUGGUGGUGUGUUUAUGCCGAUGGCCAGUAUUAACUGUUGCCGAUGGAGAGUCUGCCAAUGACAUGGAGGGAAGACUCGGAGAUUACCGAUUGGUCCGUGGUGGUGUCCCAGUCUGUCACGGGGGGGAUAGUUUUAUGUUUUCCUUAGUUAUUUAAAUCGUUUUGUAUACGGAUUCUAUUUAAAUUUGGAAUUCGAGUCCUAGUCGUGUCUAGUUGUAGCUCUUUGAGCAGGGUAUAAAUAUAGACCCUAGGGCACUGUAAUACAGACAUCUAUCAAUCAAUCAAACUCCAGUUUUUGCUCAUAUUCUAGCAUCUACUUUUCGACAACUUCGUCAUACUUUUUACUUUUUAUUACGAGUUCUUAGGAAUUCGUCGACUUAAGCUCGGCGCGUUCUCAAGUUCCGCGUGAAUACCUCUUGGCCGUGCCAUCCGGGCGCAUCACUGUUGUCGGGACCAAAGUAUUCGAGUUAUCACCUUUGCCGAUAGUAAGGUCAAAUCGGCUGGCACUCCUUAACGUUCAAAUCGGGUAUUAGCCCUUUGUGUUUGCAGAUCCAACUUUUGCAUCAACACAUCUUUUGGCACGCUCGGUGGGACCGAUUCAAGAUCAAGAUCGACAUGUCGACUACUGAGUUUGAUCAAGAGAACGUCAUCCCCGUGACGGAAGCCAAUCUCAAGAAUGAGCAGAAGCAAGCUAUUGCUAAAGCCAUGGUGGACUACAAGCAGCAAUGCCUGAGGUCCUUCAGCAUAAACAGGACCGGCGAGGUGAUCUAGAAGGAAGCACUGCCGAUGCCUCGGCAGGUUACUUUCGAAGCCAAUCCUGGUAAACUCCAAGACAUGGUUGAUAGUGCUAUUAACCGUGCUUUGAUCAACCAUGCUGGUGUGCUGUCCAAUACGCUUUUCAAUGUUGUGGCUAGAACUUUCAAGGAAGGACAAUUGCCACCAGAUUAUGUGGGCCCAUCUCAUCAUCAGCCAGGGUCACCGGUGGUUAUAGCUCCAUCGGCUGCUACAGCCGCUGCGGGCGUCCAGACUACUAUUCCUCCAAGUACAUUGGGAGUCACUAAUGCACAAUCUACGCCGAUGACUACUAAUCCACCGACUUCAGAUGAGCAGAUUAAACUUACUACAGAUCUGUUGGCAUCAGCAAUGUCAGGACCAGUUCCUCCUCCUAACUGGUGGGGUUUUGGUAUGCCUCCAGAGUUCACAUUGAAGACACCUGGCACAUCUCCGACGGCUGAUAUGAGAGGCAAGGCUCCUAUGGCAUCAGCACCUCCCAAUAUGCCGAUGAAUAAGAGUCCCUAGUAUACUACAACUACUACUGCAAGACCUUACACUGGGAAUUCUCAAGCUCCAACAUUCUAGAUGCCUAAUGCAUCGGCAGAUUCAAUGCUGAUGCAAUAGAGGUUUAUGACUCAACCAAGGUAUGUCUACUCAAUGAUCAUGCCUAAUUACCAGUCAUCGGCAGGUCCUAUGCCGAUGAAUGCUAAUAGUGGAUGGCCUGAGCAGCAAGUUUUUCCACAAAUGCCCCAGCAGCAUCAUCAAGCUACAGUGUUCCAGCAAGGCCAAAUCUACCCUGGGUUCCAAAAUCAAGGGUUGCCCAACCAGCCAAUGAAUCUUGGGCAGCAGUUUGGCGGGCAACAGUUUGGCGGGCAACAGGUCGGUGGUCAGCAGGCCAACCCGAUGUUCCAUGCAGAACGUGCACCGCACAGACACGUGGGAGCUUACCAGCAGGUGCCAGAUCCGCAACCGCCUCAUCGGCAAGAUGCCGAUGCUUAUUGGGCCGAUAAGAUCACUGAAGUAAUGAGAGACCAAUUUGGGAUAAAGCCCAAAGUCAACACCUACUCUUAUCAGACACCGUAUCCUCCAGCAUACGAUUUAAUCCCGCUUCCAAAUCGGUACAAAGUGCCGGAUUUUACUAAGUUUUCAGGGCAGGAUGAUACAUCAACCAUGGAGCAUGUCAACAGGUUCAUCAUCCAGUGCGGAGAGGCUGCUAACCGGGAUGAGUUAAGGGUUCGCUUAUUCUCGUCAUCAUUGUCUGGAUCGGCUUUCACCUGGUUUAUAUCAUUACCUCCCAACUCAGUGGUUACUUGGGCCGAUCUAGAGAAACAAUUCCACAAAUACUUCUUUUCUGGGGUCCAUGAGAAGAAGAUCACCGAUUUGGUCAAAUUGAGGCAACGCAAUGAUGAAUCGGUUGAAGGUUUUGUGCAGAGGAUACGGGAGGUCAAGAACAAAUGCUAUAGCCUGAUUCUGGACGAUCGGCAGCUAGCCGGUUUGGCUUUCCAGGGUUUGUUGCCACAUAUCAGGGACAAGUACGCAUCUCAAUAGUUUGAAAGCUUAAGUCAUUUGGUGCAGAGAAUUUCUGAUCAAGAUAUCAAGCCUUUUGAGCCCAAGAGAGCAUGGAAUAAAAAGGUAUCGUUCGUUGACGAGGCAGCAAGCUCGGAUUCUGAUGAAGAGCCAGUCAUCGGCUUGGCAGAAUGGGUGAAAAACAAGAAGCCUAUGUCUUGCCCUUUCGGGCAUAAAGAGCCAGAGAAGUUCGCAUUUGACAUCACCAAGGCCUACAGGAUAUUUGACUUUCUACUUCAGGAAGGUCAGAUCAAAUGGUCACCCAAUCAUGUGAUCCCAUCGGCUGAAGAACUAAAAAGGAUGAAGUACUGCAAAUGGCACAAUGCAACUUCUCACGACACCAAUGAAUGCAAAAUAUUUAGACAGCAGUUGCAAUCGGCUAUAGAAUCUGGGAGGAUCAAAUUUGACAGCUCCAAGACCCAGAAGCCGAUGAAGAUUGAUCAACAUCCUUUCCCAACAAACAUGCUGGAUGCUAAGGGGAAGGCCAAGGUAUUGAGAUCGGAAGCAGCUGAAAGAAGUGCAUCGGUAGAUCCUCAGCAUCAGAUCACUAUUGCCGAUGUGAAAGGAAAAGGCUUGAUCCAGGAAGGAACUAACUCAGGAAGGCCUCCCCGAUCUGGUAUUGUGAUAACCCACAGAAGGCCUCGGGAGACUUGGCAACAACGUGAGGAUCGGUAUCGGCGCCAGCAAGAGGACUAUCGUUGGGAAGAAUAAAGACACCGACAGGAGUGGAAUCGGCAUAGGGACCACUGGAAUUGUCCUUUCUUCAUCCAUUGUUGGGAGGGAAAUAUCAAACUUCCCACCGUUAGAGAUUGUCCUGAGUGCAACGGUUAUGACCGGUAUAACAGGUUUGAUCGGCGCUAUCGUGAUGAUGAUCGGCGGUUUAAUGGGCCGAUUAGGGGGAGAGCGUCCGUUCAUGAUCGACUGGGGGGCAGGCUCAGUGUGCAUGAUAGGCUCGGCGAUCGUGUUGAAUACUUUCCCAGGAACCAGGAAGAACUUGAGGAGAUGGCUAAUGCUCGAGUUUCCGAUGAGUUCAUAUUUUGCAGGGAUGCCAAUACUUAUCAGAUGGAGUCAAGAGAGAAUCAUCGCCCAUCGGUAAGGCAGCAGCAACUUCCUCCAUGGUGUCCGGAGGGGUUGACCAAGACACAGAAGAGAAGACUGCAGCGCGAAAGGCGAGAAGAGUUAAGCAAGGGGGAGAACUCUGGACAGUCUAGGGAUCAGCAACAAUCAGAUCCUAAGGGGAAAGGUCCAUCGGCAGACGUCAACAUGGUAUUUAUGUUGCUGAUGGAGUUCCUUGCACCAUCCAGUAAUGAUGAGUUAGAGUUUUCCGACCAGAUAGCUCAGUUGGCUUUAGAUCCGAUGACAGCCAUCUUCGAAAAGUCUGCCGAUGAUGAAAGGCAACAUCUUAAGGCUCUGUUUGUCAAAGGAAGGGUUGAUGGUCAGCCGAUGACCAAGAUUUUAAUUGAUGGUGGGGCUGCUAUCAAUAUCAUGCCAUAUGCAGUGUAUCGAAAGCUUGGAAAAGGAGAUCAGGAUUUGACCAAGACCGAUAUGAUGCUAAAGGAUUUCGAGGGCAACGUGUCUCCGGUCAAGGGAGCCAUAUGCGUUGAGUUGACUAUCGGCAGCAAGACCUUGCCGACAACCUUCUUCGUGAUCAGUGGGAAAGGUGCCUACAAUCUGUUGCUAGGGAGAGAUUGGAUUCAUGCCAAUUGUUGUAUCCCAUCUACAAUGCACCAGUGCUUGGUCCAGUGGGUAGGUGACAAUGUUGAAAUUGUCCCGGGAGAUUCUUCUUAUGUCAUCGCAUUGGCAGAAGCAGACACCUAUGAAAGGACUAGGUGUAUCUCAGGAGAAGUUUGGAAGAAAGAUUUUCUUAAGGUCGCCGACUAUGAAAUUCCACCGAUCCAAGCAGUCGGUUCUGAUGAGGGUUUUUAAUGGAUAGGUUCGCUGAUGAUGGAAAAUUGGGCCAGGGAUUCACAUCGGCCGAUGAUCUAGUAGAAGUAGAUAUAGGUAGUGGAGAUAAGCCUAGGCAUACUUUUAUUAGUGCUAAGUUGAAUUCUGAGUGUAAGCAACAGUUAACCGAUUUGUUAAAGGAAUAUAAAGAUUGCUUUGCUUGGGAUUAUACUGAGAUGCCUGGUUUGGACCGAUCGAUUGUUGAACAUGGAUUGCCUAUCAAGUCUGGAUUUCGGCCACAUCAGCAGCCGGCUCGCCGAUGUAAUCCUAAUAUUCUUCCUGAUAUUAAGGCCGAAAUAACCAAACUGAUUGAAGCUAAAUUUAUUCGGCAGUGUCAGUAUGCCGAGUGGAUUUCCAAUGUGGUUCUAGUCUACAAGAAAAAUGGGAAGCUUCGGGUCUGCAUUGAUUUCAGAAAUCUUAACAAAGCUACACCGAUGGACGGUUACCCAAUGCCAGUUGCCGAUUUGCUGGUUGAUGCUGCAGCUGGGCAUCAGAUUAUCAGCUUUAUGGAUGGUAAUGCAGGGUAUAUUCAAAUAUUCAUGGCUGAAGAAGAUAUUCCAAAGACAGCAUUUAGAUGUCCUGGUCAUGUUGGGUUGUUUGAAUGGAUAGUCAUGACUUUUAGCUUGAAAAAUGCUAGUGCUACUUAUCAGAGGGCUAUGAAUUUUAUAUUUCACGAGUUCUUCGGUAAGCUGGUGGAGAUUUAUAUUGAUGAUGUGGUGGUUAAGUCUGGAGACUUUACAAAGCAUCUUGCCGAUUUGAGAAAGGUAUUGGAAUGUACAAGGAAGCACGGGUUGAAGAUGAAUCCCAAUAAGUGUGCGUUUGGUGUAUUGGCAGGAAAAUUUCUUGGUUUCAUGGUGCAUCAAAGGGGAAUUGAAAUUAGUCGAAGAUCCAUUGAUGCUAUCAACAAAAUAGUUGCUCCUACCAACAAGACUGAGCUCCAGUCCUUGAUCGGCAAGGUAAAUUUUAUCAGGAGGUUUAUAUCUAAUUUGUCUGGUAAAAUUCGUGCUUUCAGUCCUUUACUUAAGUUGAAAGCCGAUCAAGAGUUCGUAUGGGGGAAAGAACAACAGUUGGCCUUGGAUGAAAUCAAGAAGUACUUGGUAAAUCCUCUAGUUCUGAUUCCACCUCAGCAAGGGAAGCCCUUCAGAUUAUAUUUGUCUACCGAUGGGAUGGUCAUCGGUUCGGCUUUAAUUCAAGAGUUUGAAGGGAAGGAACGUGUGAUUUACUAUUUAAGCAGGAGGUUGAUUGAUGCUGAGACCAGGUAUUCGGCUAUUGAGAAACUGUGCUUAUGCUUGUACUUCUCUUGUAUUAAGUUAAGGCAUUAUUUACUGUCGGCCGAAUGCAUGGUUAUCUGCAAAGAUGAUGUGGUCCGAUACAUCCUGUCUAUGCCGAUCAUGAGUGGCAGGAUCGGUAAGUGGAUUUUGACGCUGUCGGAAUUCGAUCUGCGUUAUGAAUCGGCUAAAGCAGUUAAGGGAUAGAUUAUGGCCGAUUUUGUAACUGAACAUUGCGGUACAGUGGAGGCUUUAGAAAUUGUACCUUGGACGCUCUUCUUUGAUGGAUCCACGUGUGACCGGGGGGCAGGAAUCGGCAUAGUAUUAAUUUCCCCUCGGGGAAGGAAGUAUGAGUUUUCCUUGCCGAUUGUUGCCACGUCCACAAUGAUGCUGUUGAGGUCUUCGGGGAUUCUAUGCUAGUUAUAAAUCAAUUGGCUGGAAGCUAUGAAUGCCGAAGUGAAGUCCUGAUAACUUAUCAUUAAAGGAGUAUGCAACUGUUAAAGGAAUUCAAGGAUUUCCGGUUAGAGCAUGUUCCUCGAUUGCAUAAUGAAGAGGACAAUCGGUUGGCUCAGCAUGCCUCGGGAUAUCAGCCCAUGAUUAAUGCAAUAUCGGCAAUCGGUGCUGAUGAUUGGAGGAAAGAAAUCAUUGAUUAUUUGAAGGAUCCAUCUAAGAAAGUUGAGAGGCGUGUUCGGUUUCAAGCUACCAAGUAUGUGCUCCUUGAAGGUGAAUUAUAUUGCCGAACUAUCGAUGGGAUUCUUCUCAGAUGCUUAGGUGAUGAUGGGGCUAAAGGUUUGAUGAGAGAAAUCCAUGAGGGAGUGUGUGGAGCACAACAAUCGGCUUUUAAGAUGAAGUGGAUGAUUAGAAGAAAUGGGUAUUAUUGGCCGAAUAUACUUGAGGAUUGCUUUAAGUAUUUCAAAGGGUGUCAAGGCUGUCAUAAAUUUGGCAAUAUCCAAAGGGCACCUGCAUCGGCUAUGAAUCCUAUCAUCAAGCCUUGGCCAUUCCGGGGAUGGGCUAUCGACUUAAUCGGCCAGAUUUAUCCGCCAUCCAGCAAAGGGCAUAAGUUUAUCUUGGUCGCCACCGAUUAUUUCACCAAGUUGGUUGAAGCUAUUCCUUUAAAGAAAGUUACAUCGGCCAAUAUGAUUGAUUCUGUGAAAGAGCACAUUAUCUACCGAUUUGGGAUUCCUCAUACAAUUACUACCGAUCAGGGUACUAUGUUCACGUCGGGAGAGUUUGACGAAUUUGCAAUCGGUAUGGGAAUUAAAGUGUUAAACUCUUCUCCUUAUUAUGCUCAAGCUAAUGGGCAGGCCGAGGCAUCUAACAAAGGAAUUAUCAAGCUUAUUAAACGAAAGAUUGAGGAGAAUCCUAGGAGGUGGCACACAUUGUUAAACGAAGCUUUAUGGUCAUACCGGAUGGCUUGUCAUGGGUCGACCAAGGUUUCACCUUAUCAGUUGGUGUAUGGGCAUGAUGCAGUGUUACCUUGGGAAAUUAAGACUGGAUCUAGGCGACUAUCUUUUCAGGAUCAAUUGGCUACCGAUGAUUAUGCAACUUUGAUGAUAGACGAGUUAGAUGAUCUAGCAGGACAUCGGCUAAGGGCCUUAAUGAGUAUAGAAGAGAAUAAGAAGAGUGUUGCCACAUGGUAUGAUAAGAAGGUAAAGGCUAAGGAGUUUGCCGAUGGAGACUUGGUAUGGAAAUUGAUCUUACCGAUCGGGACUAAAAGUUCAAAAUUUGGGAAAUGGUCUCCCAAUUGGGAAGGUCCCUGUCGGAUAAGUCGAUCGGCUCCUAGUAAUGCCUAUAUUUUAGAAACUCUCGAAGGAGUUGAAUUUCCCAGAGCAUUAAAUGGCAAAUAUCUAAAGAAGUACUACCCCAGCAUAUGGGUCGAUGCAUAAAAGUUAGAUGCUGAUAACACUCCUAUCGGCAUGAUCAAAAUGUAUCUGGGGAUAAAACUCAGUGUUUUAAAAGGCGCCGAUAACAGUCCUAUCGGCUAGACCAAAUAUUAGGAGAGCUGGAAAGCAGAGAGGGGCAAGGAUGUAUCGCUGAUGAAGAGCUCAUGUGUUCAAUAGUGCCUGGAUAGUCGAUAUGCCGCACAGACGGAUCUGGUUGGCUUCCUCUAACUCCUUCACGUCGUCAUCGGCAGAGCCCUCCACCGGCUUCAGCUUCUUUUUCAUCUGCAGUGCCUUACGGCCAUGAAUGUUUCGUUCUUGCUCAAGAAGCUUGAUUGUCUCCGGCUGUUGGCUUUCUUCUUGAUGAGCUUAUGACAGGGCAUCCUCUACCUGCUUGAGUUCUGCCAACAGGGCUUCUCUUCUCACCGAUAGAUCAGAAAUCUUCUGUUUCAAUGCAUCUCCUGAAGACUGUAAGAUGCCGAUGUUCUUGUGUUUCUCAUCGGCAAGGAGCUUCACUUUCAUCAUCUCUUCAGACAACUAGGCACGAGCAGCUCUAUCGGCGAGACGUUGGGCAGCCUUCUGAUACUGCAACUGACGGCUUUCUAGGUGCACAGCCUGAAAGACGAUUUCUUCAGCAUCGGCAGGAAUCUGGCCUCUGAGGGUCUUGAACAAAGCCUUGGCCGGGUCAGAGUCAUCGACCAGUUGGGCUGAUAAUUUCUCCAACUUCGCCCUGAUUUCUGCCGACGUGAUCCCGACUGCCCGAGAAGAGCUGGCUUCCUCGCCUUCGUCUUCAGAGAUGUCAAUGGCAAAGGAAAACAAGCUAUCGGGAGAGUCCUGCUCCUGGAAGAAAUAUAAAGUGAGUCAUUCCGUGGUCAAGUAUUGACAAAUGAUACUGAUGGAAAUUGGAUAGCUUCCUUGUUUCAAGGCAAUUUCUCACCUUUGACUGGAAGAUGCCAAUGGGAUUACAGGCUGAUCAGCUGAGGUUGCCGAUAUAACAAUGUCAGCUGAAGAAAUAACAGAAAUAAUUAUAAGACAGAGAGGAUAAGUUCAUCGGCAAUAAUUUCAUAAGAAUAUGGUACCUUGAGGAGGAACAAUGCUUGUCUGGAUCGAGGAAACUACCGAUGCUAUGAUUGAGCCUGCUGGAUCGGUAGUCUGCUCGCCCACAUCGGCCGAUGUGUCUUCAGGCUGAGGUGCUUCUGACUGAGGUCCUGCUGGAUGGAUUUCUUCCACUUGAGGUGCUUCUUGCAGCUGAGAGGGAGAUGGUACCUGCUGUGUCAGUGUUUCUGGAGAAGAGGGAGAAGAUUCUACCAGAAUUGGAGAUACUGGGGGAGGAGGAGGCGUUGCUACUCUUUGACGCUUUGUUUGUGCUCUGGUACUCUUGGCACCCUUUCUCUUCGGCUCACUAGACUCAGGGGCAUCGACACUUGUGCUUCUGGUUUUUGCCAUUGCGCCGGUGUGCUGAUACAGAAAGGGAAAUUUGUGAGUACAAGUACAACAGAUGUAAGAACAAGAUCGAUAUGAAAGAAUUUGAAAGUGUACCUUGAAAGCUUGUGCCAAGGUAGAGGCAGCUACCGAUGGAGAUGUCUUAGCCCUCUUGGUGGUGACUUUCUUCAGGCGUACACCUCGAUGCAUGAUGGCAGCCAGAGUUGGAGCGUUGUUGCCGAUUGAAGAGAUCGGACCUAAUGGGAACAGAUCAAUCGGCUUGCCGCUCCUGCUGGCCGAUGGGGGAGUGUCAUCGACCUGCAAUAUAAUACAGAAAGUGAGUUACCGAUGGAAAUAAAGGUUGAAGGAAUUGAAACAUCGGUUUGGAAAUACUUACAGUAUUGUCAGGAACUUUGUACUGAGGGUCGAUCAUGCCGCAGUACGUUACAGCCGAUCUGCAGAAUAAGUGCUCCUUCCACUCCUGAUUAAUAAAGCUGGGCUACUCACUAGGAACCCACUCUGACAGAUCUGCGUCUGUAUGCCUGAGUAAUAAAGAGGGCUGGAACCUACUCUGACAGAUCUGCGUCUGUAUCGGCAUUCGGUGCUAGCUGGGCUACUCGGAUCCACUCGAGGAGGUUAGUGAUGACUUCCCUGGGUUUUAUCACAUCGGCAUAAAAGAGUGCAAUCGGCAGCUGGCCGAAAGCUGGUUGACGGGCUAGUGCUGAUGGGUUGUAAAACUCAUAGGUUUGGUUGGAGGUUUUCCCACUACCGAAGUUCACUGGUAUAACUCUGGGGGUGAUCAGUGCCAUCAUCACUUCGUCAUCCUUGUUAACAGCAUUGUUGAAUGGAUGGAAGACCAAAGGAAACAUGGUGUCUGGGUCUUCAUACGGCAUCCAUGCUCACUGUUCUCUGGUCAGGCCUUCGUAUAGGGUUUGGAAGAAUCGGCUGACCUAGUCUGCAUUGCCCCCUGUACCAGGCAGAACUAUGGCAGCCUCACCAAAGUUUAGAGGAGGGCGAGUUGCCGAUUCUUCUUCAUCCAGUUCAUAGUCCUCGGCUGUGUCCCUGGGGAAGCGCUAUGUGAAGAGGUCAAACUCAAGACGCUUGUGCAUGUGGAGGCUGAGCCACAUGUUGGUAAACCACCAGGGACCCCCCAAGUUGCCGAUGGACUGGCCGAGCAGGAGAAGAGUUGGGGCUGUAGAAUGAUGUGAUGGAGAAGGAGUACCCGAGAAUGAACUAUUUAUAGGACAAAAUGGGUAAGGGUAAAUCUGACUUAUCACUUCGCCGUAUCCGUGAAAUCCGAGGAUACUCAGGAAGAUAUGGUAACUGUUCGCACGGUAAUCAAGGGAUUGCGCAGGUGAUUUGACAGGAAGCGGUCGUGAUCUGGAGAUAUUACUGUGCGAGAUUUCCUAGUCGGUCCAUCGACAACGCCUUGUAACGGUAAUAUUGCCGAUGGACGGAUAAAGAGGAGAUAUCCGUUGGGGAGGAUAAGAUACGUCACUGUACGGGAUGUCCUGUUUAGUUCAUCGGCAGUUCUCUGUAACGGUAACAUUGCCGAUGGGUGAUUGAAGUGGAGAUAUCCGUUUAGGAGGUUGAGGAUUUCGAGGAAUCUGUGGAGGAAUAGAGUCAGAGUUAUUCAGAUUGAGGUUGUCGGUUACCAAAUUGGGAGCAUUAAUUGCGGAAAGGCAUCAUUACUGCAGAGAGUUUCGGAGCAUUAAUGAUUUCAUACUCCGAAAUUGGGGGGCAUUUGUUGACUCCGUUUUUGGACACGUAUCCAGGAUCGGUAGAAUGUAGGUCGGCAAGAUAGGGUGGCAAUAUUUGGUCUGCGGAAGAUGUUGCCGGUGAAGAUAGUUGCUAUUGACGGUCCUUAAGUAUCAAAUUUAAUUAUCAAAUAAACAAAGAAAAGGAUCUAAAUGAAAUCAACAUCUAUACUUAGGGUUUUAUCUGACAAAAUUCCACGAGUUUUGGUGUUUGUCUAUUUCUGCAGGGGGUUAUCAGGAAAUAUGGAAGAAAGGCCCACACGCCGGGAUUACAUAGAGAUAUUAAUGUGCCGCGCAAUUUUACGUCAUCUAGAAGACUCCAGAAGCCACGGGAAGGAAGCGGAGGCCGAACGGAGCCAGGACCUGGCGCCCGCCCAAGUCCUUAGGGCGCCCGCCCUGCUACAAAGGCCAAUCACGUUCAACCUCGCGGAUUAUGCUCCACCGACCUAAAGGAUCAAGAAUAACCGUUCAAUCAAUGUCGAUUUGAUCCGACGGACCAGGUUCACUUGAGGGGACUAUAUAACCAGACCCCCUGGCCCCUGGAGGAGGCACCCCUUGAUCAUUAUUCAUUAUUCAUAGACAGAGCAAAAGCUAGGGUUUAGAGAUGAGAGCUCUCCUCUCUUCUCUAAACUAGAGUAGAUCUAGAUAGUAGCAAGAUGGAGAGCGAAGGAGGAUUAGAGGACAGGUCGGCCUGUCGGUUCUUCCUCCGGUUGUACUUCGUCAUGAUCAAGCUCUAAUCAAGCUUGCUCAUGGGAUGACUCUGGUAAUCUACUUCUAAUUCAUUAUGCAAUUACUAAUUAUGUAUGUUCUGGUUCACAACUCUUUUGAGUACUUUAAUCUAUAGGACGCUAUAGGUGAGAGUUGUAGUAUAGGUGUAAGCGAGGUGCUUAGAUCUAGAUUACUUGUGGAUAUCCCCUGUCUAGCUGGAUCGUGUGGUAGGCCGCGUAGGUGACAGUUACGUUGGUCCUCUGUAGUCCACCUCUCGUUAGCAGGAUGGGUAGGGUUUAUCGGCCUAUGGAUAAGCAUCCUUUGUGGUGUAAUCCUAUCACAUAGUUCGUCCCAGACAUAGACAUACCCCUUUGAAGUAGAGAAACCAUAGUUAUCCUCUCUAUUCUGCUACCAUCGCCCAUAUACUAGAUUGCUCUACUCUCUAUUCCCCUAUUAUUACCCAUUGUUAUCUUAUCUUUAAUAUUGUUCUUAUUCAAUUCUACCAUCUUUCCUAUUUACACCUAUUUACUUAUCUUGGUUAAGUUAGAGCAUAGAUCAGUUCUCCCGUUUCCCUGUGGAUACGAUAAAACCUUUAUCCGGGUAAAAGCUUCAACGGUAUCCGUGCACUUGCGGAUUAUCUGUGUGCGUAUAAAUACCAUAGUACACUCUAGUGCCAUGCUGGGGAUGACAACCUAGUAUUCAAGUGGUGUUAGCAAGUGUCAACAAGCAUUUUUGGCGCCAUUGCCGGGGAGACGGUUGCUGAGUUGACUAUGAACUAGCUUAAUCAUUUUCUAAAAAAAUAAAAAAAAAAUAUUUUCCUUUUAUCCUUUGCCUCAUCUCUGCUAAUCUUUCUUCUUAUCUAAUCCUUGAUCUCUGGUCUAUCAUGAAUUCAAACAUGUCUAUCUAUGAAUUUCAUAGACCUAUGGGCACACAUCUCGAACCACCAAAAUCUUCAAAGCCUAUCAUAGCAUCUAGUUUUGAGAUAGACCCCGAAUACAUAGAAUUUGUUCAAAAACAACCUUUCUCAGGAGAAGGUGAGGAAAACCCAUACACACACCUAAGAGAGUUUUAUCGAGUCUGUGACCUCCUUCGCAUUGAAGGCAUGUCUGAUGAGACCCUUAAAUGGAAGCUCUUUCCGUUCUCUUUAACGGGAAAAGCUAGACAUUGGUAUAAACUCAAAGUAGGGAGUGUUCAUGGAGAUUGGAAGGAGUUACAUAAUAGUUUUCUUUCUAAAUAUUUUCCAAUCUCCAAAGUGGCGGAACUUCGGUGUGAGAUUAUUUCUUUUAGGCAACUGGAAGAAGAAUCUCUUAGGAAAUCAUGGGACCGCUUUAUUAACCUUACUCUCACUGGCCCAAAGCAUUCUAUUCUAGAAGAAGUUCUUCUAAUUCACUUUUUUGAGGGCCUUAGUGGGGAAAAUAAGCAAACCUUGAAUACAGAUUCUAGAGGAUCCUUCUAUCACCUACCUGUUAGUGAAGCUUGGAAUUUGAUUGAUUUAUUAAGUGGAAAGUCUCCUGGCUUUUAUAUCCAUGAGAAAGAGACAGAACCAGUUCCUACACAAGAAGAAGAAGUUUCGAUAGCCAGAUCACAACCACUUCAAUUCCAAACUUUAGCUAUCGAUCCUAAACCAUCAAUACCCCAAAAUUCUCCAAGGGAGGAAGGAAUUCCGACCUUAAAUCUUUCAGAUGCUGAUGGUUUUGACUUCUGGUUCCAUAAGAGACCUUCAAGCAGGGAUAAUUCAAAUCCUCGCAAUAAUGGUUCUCUUAGAGAAUGUCCUGGUUCCUAUUAUGAAGAAGUCGAGGAUGACAUAUCAAGUGAAGGAGAGCUAAGCCAUUUUGAAAAUUCUAACACCUCCCCUUUCCUGAUCACAAGUUCUAAAUGGCUAGAAUGUGUAGAAUGGAUGGAUAAGGAAGAAGCCUCAAUGAAUUCUGACUUUGGUUCAAUUUCAAAUGGUGAGUUCUUGACUCCCUUUGAAGAAGGGAUUCAUCCAACUAUAGAAGAGGACAUAAGUGAGACCAAUCCAAGAGAAACUCUGAACAUUCAGAUUGGAGACGAAGAUAACAUUAAUGAGCAUGGAAUUUAUUUCUUAGCCACUUUGUUUACUCCAUGCUCAUAUGCAACAUCUUCCCAAUCUAUUGGUCUCUCCAACAUCACCACAUUUGAGAUCUCCAACCCCCUCUUCCUUUCUAUUUAUAAAAACUUUAAAAGGGCGGUUGUCGAUGCAUAUGUCUAUAAUAAAUAUUGCAGAUCUCGUUGAGUUGAUCUUGAUUGAGGUCAGCGUUGGAAGGGAAACCACUUCGCCGACAUAAAUUGAUGGUUUCCCAAGGACAAGCUUGGUGUCCUAAGAUAAGCACUGAUCAGAUCGUAACAUGAGUUUUUAAUUAUCUGCAACAUUACCUUGUGUAUUGAGCAUAUAAGGAUAAUUGUAAAAAUAUUCCUUCGGGUAUUCUUGUCACUAACCUUUCCAGGAUUGGAGCAAGAAGAUCGGAUGAAUGACAAGCAAGUACAAGGUAUGUCCAACCAAUCAUGAUGCAACACUGAAUUAAAUUCAUCCAAACUUGAAUUCUGCAAAAUUCAAGCUUGGGGAGUACUUUACAUAAAAACAUCCUUUGCCAUGUUGCUAUGUUGGUUGUCCCUACCUUUAAGUCAUGCUCAAUUUGUUAAAUACUAAUCACACUACUUCAUCUCCACUUGAGUAGAUCUCUAUAAAUGCUGUCAUGUUACCUUUGUCUAUUUACUAGUAAGUGUUAGUUUGGAAGUACUGCACAUACUUCUAUUGGCUUUAAAAUUAAGCAUGGUGCUUAGGUUAAACAACAUUCUUUAAUCUGAUUAGACAUGGAGUCUAGUUCGGUUAUUGAACUAAAAACUGCUUGUGUAGACAUUGGUAUAUUUUUGUCGGACUAACCUCUGCAGAAAAACUUUCAAUAUUGAUUUGGGAAGUCCUGAGAUAAACUCACAUCAGAGACGAAGAGAGUGACACAUGAAGUUUAACAAUUUGCACAAGAAGGACAUAGCUCAUUCAUCAUAGAGAGAUGAUCCAUGGAGGGUGCCACAAACACGAUGCACAACCGCUAAGAAAGGAAAGCUUCCAUAAGGUGAUACUGUACCAUCACUCUUCAAGCAAGGUAACAUCUUAAGGUGCUUGACUAUCACUUUUAUAAGCUUCUCCUUGGUUCUGGCGUUCAUAUAAAUAAAAGAGACAAACAUUUAUGAUUUACAACUCUAGAUUAACCAACCCAACUGAUUCAACAUGUUUAGUCCUUUAAUCCUUGUUUUUAGUACUACCUCCAUGAUCCCACACUCCUAAUCAUAUGAGCUAAAAUGUUACACAUUCAAUCAUUGAGAGAUAUAAAGAAAAAGACAUAUACAUAGAUAGAUUAUCUUUCCGUAAGGUUGAGCGAUCUGAUCUGACAAAUGUUAUAAGUGCUACACUCAUGAACUUUUCAUCCAUCAACUUUGUCUUGCUCACUAUGCUUAGGGUUAGAGAAGAACAAAUAAACUUUAGGUUUUGUUGGUGUUUUCCACCAACAGGACCCAUGCACUUGAUCUCUGCCUUGUCUCUAUGAGCAGGUACACUUUGAGCAAAACACGGAGGAGUUUUAUAACUCUCAGACUCUACCAAGUGAAGGACCUGGAUCUACGAGCACAAACACACUGAGCAAGAUACUGCCAACGCCGCGCUUCGAACUGCUGGGCAAAGAAGAGGUGCAAACGUCAAGGUCCGCACCUGAAUCAAAUGAGGCACCUGAAGAAUGAACACGGUGAGAAGUCUUGUUAAGAAGACUUAAAACAUUGAACCCUCGCCGAAAGGUAAGAUCGGUAGUUAUCCAUAUUUAUCCUUUCUGCAUUCCCUUUUCCCUUUAAUUAUUUACUUUCCUUAAAUAGAUUAUUAGUUAAUCAUGCUAUCUUGAAAAAAAAUAGAAAUGUUAAAAAAUACUAAGCCCCAUGUGAGUAUACGAGUGGCAUAAAACCCAUAAGUACCUUCACUGUGGUGGCAUAAAAAUAAAAUAAAUAUUUCUUUUCUGCUUUAUAAAAUAAAAAUAUAAAAAUAGGAAGUAAUAUUUAUUGAGGAAGCUCAACAUGAUGAAGGCUAGAUAUUUAUGCUAACACUUAAUUAGUUCCACAAGCUUUGUUGUCUAUUUGAGCUCCACAGAAUUUAAGAAUCAAGAAGACUAGCAGACGGAGGACAUUCUAAUCGCUGUCAGAAUGCUACUGACUUUCAAAUACACCUCUACCACCUCCUAGCUACAUCAAGAAAAAUUACGUCAAAAUUCAGCUUGGGGGAGAGCACCCCCAUUUAUCUGCUAAGUGUUUCUACCUAUCUUUAUACUUAUAUUAUAUUAAAAUAUUAAAAUACAUAAACUAUGAAAAACCAAAUAAAGAUUUUGUGCUUAUAUAUAUAUUUUUUGCUUAGUGUGUUUAAUAAAAAAGUGGCUAUGCUAAUCUGAAUCUUAAUAAUAAAACUCUAGCAUGGAUAUGAUGAAUAGUUGCUCUGCUUAAUUUGCAAAUUUGAAGUUCUCCCUCAAGUUUAGACAUAACUGUUAUAAUUUAAAGCUUGCUCUAGAUCUAAACUUGUGGGAUGAAAACUUGAUCUUAAAUCUAAGUUGUUAACGGAUAUGAUAUGGGAAUGUUGAGCUGCUGUUUAUCUGUUCCUAGAGAUGCUAGAAUUCUGGAGAAUUUUAUCUUUAAAAAAUCUUUAAAAUAUUGCAUGAUGAGUUUCUGUAUGAUGAGAGUUUAAAUACCUACCACAGCCAUAUAUACAUGCUUGCUAGACUUUGAGCCACACAUUUAUUAUUUACUACUUAUGAGCAUUGAGUGUGGUCAAGCUGUGUAGACCCUUAGGAGCUUGUCAUGUGGUUAAAUCAAGAUUUCACUUGCACAUUCACUCAUAUAUGCUACUUCUACUUCGAAAGUACCAUCCACAUAUAUCCACUCAUUUCCAUCUCUAGAACCACCCAAAAAUAUUCUACUCCUAAUCCGGGAGAGAAUAACCAAAAAAAUAUUUCUGUUUUGCCUUGUGAAAUAAAUGCUCAAGUUAUCUUGCUACUACCACUUGCUAUAUUAUCUCAAGAGAUGAGUGCUCUAAAAAAAGAAAAAAGAAGAAAAGAAAAAAAUAUAUAUAAAUAAACGAGGAAAUAAAAAGGGGCAAGUGCCCGGAACCUCGAAAGAAAGAAAAAGUGAGACGAGAGGUAAAAAUGGACAAGUGUGCGACAGUAGAAUUAGGGGUACAAGAUACCCACCUGAGAGGAAAGAAAAAGAAGAGCAUCUCAUUCUCCUCAUAAAGUUUCAAAAAGCAAGGAAGGUAUGUAUCCCCUCCAAAGAGCAAAAGUAGAAUUAGACUUCCACCAUUGUUAUCACCAUCAUCACCAUACAGCAUUCAUUCGCCACACAUGCACAUCUUGAUUUGACUUAUUGACUUGUUUCUCUGGAUCCAUGGUUUGACUAUACAAUAAAUGUCUUGUAAGUAUGUAUACUUUAUCUCCCACCUAUGAGCUCCAGAUAUUAAAGCCUUAUUAGAGUAGGGUGAGAGAGAAGGCAAUGUCACUAUGCCUUAUACCACAAAUACCACAUAUCUUGAGAGAAGACAUAUACCAUCACUGCCUUGGUAUGGAUCCAGAAAUACCACAAAAGAGAGAUUUAGAGAGUCAUACAAGGAAUCUCUGAGUUUUAUUUGAAAAACUGCAAAAACUCUAGAGCUAUAGCUGAUCAAGAAUAAGAGACAUGGCACUUGGCUAGACUGUUCUAUCUUUUAACUACUCAAGACAGAAGUGACGGUUACAAGUCCCAUGGUGAAAGGUAAAGUAAGUAAGUUUUAGUUCUUGACAGUUUACUCUAACUCAGAGAUGAGAUCUUAUUUAAAAGCAUGUGUACCGUCAAAUUUUUAAGAUAUUGCAACAACUUCUGAUCCAUUGCUGAGUCUAUCCUUGCUCAGGGAUGAGCAAGAGGUAAGCUUGGGGGACUUUGUUGACGGUCCUUAAGUAUCAAAUUUAAUUAUCAAAUAAACAAAGAAAAGGAUCUAAAUGAAAUCAACAUCUAGACUUAGGGUUUUAUCUAACAGAAUUCCACGAGUUUUGGUGUUUGUAAAUUUCUGCAGGGGGUUAUCAGGAAAUAUGGAAGAAAGGCCCACACAUCGGGAUUACAUAGAGAUAUUAACGUGCCGCGCAAUUUUAUGUCAUCUAGAAGACUCCAGAAGCCACGGGAAGGAAGCGGAGGCCGAACGGAGCCAGGACCUGGGCGCCCGCCCAAGUCCUUAGGGCGCCCGCCCUGCUACAGUCGCCAAUCACGUUCAACAUCGUGGAUUAUGCUCCACCGACCUAAAGGAUCAAGAAUAACCGUUCAAUCAAUGUCGGUUUGAUCCGACGGCCCAGGUUCACUUGAGGGGACUAUAUAACCAGACCCCAUGGCCCCUGGAGGAGGCACCCCUUGAUCAUUAUUCAUUAUUCAUAGACAGAGCAAAAGCUAGGGUUUAGAGAUGAGAGCUCUCCUCUCUUCUCUAAACUAGAGUAGAUCUAGAUAGUAGCAAGAUGGAGAGCGAAGGAGGAUUAGAGGAGAGGCCGGCCUGUCGGUUCUUCCUCCGGUUGUACUUCGUCAUGAUCAAGCUCUAAUCAAGCUUGCUCAUGGAAUGACUCUGGUAAUCUACUUCUAAUUCAUUAUGCAAUUACUAAUUAUGUAUGUUCUGGUUCACAACUCUUUUGAGUACUUUAAUCUAUAGGACGCUAUAGGUGAGAGUUGUAGUAUACGUGUAAGCGAGGUGCUUAGAUCUAGAUUACUUGUGGAUACCCCUGUCUAGCUGGAUCGUGUGGUAGGCCGCGUAGGUGACAGUUACGUUGGUCCUCUGUAGUCCACCUCUCAUUAGCAGGAUGGGUAGGGUUUAUCGGCCUAUGGAGAAGCAUCCUUUGUGGUGUAAUCUUAUCACGUAGUUCAUCCCAGACAUAGACAUACCCCUUUGAAGUAGAGAAACCAUAGUUAUCCUCUCUAUUCUGCUACCAUCGCCCAUAUACUCGAUUGCUCUACUCUCUAUUCCCCUAUUAUUACCCACUGUUAUCUUAUCUUUAAUAUUGUUCUUAUUCAAUUCUACCAUCUUUCCUAUUUACACCUAUUUACUUAUCUUGGUUAAGUUAGAGCGUAGAUCAGUUCUCCCGUUUCCCUGUGGAUACGAUAAAACCUUUAACCGGGUAAAAGCUUCAACGGUAUCCGUGCGCUUGUGGAUUAUCUAUGUGCGUAUAAAUACCAUAGUACACUCCAGUGCGCUGCGGAUGACAACCUAGUAUUCAAGUGGUGUUAGCAAGUGUCAACAGUUGCCGAUGAAGGGGUAACCGAAUAUGACUAAGUCCAUAUGUGGUGGUGUGUUUAUGCCGAUGGCCAGUAUUAACUGUUGCCGAUGGAGAGUCUGCCAAUGACAUGGAGGGAAGACUCGGAGAUUGCCGAUUGGUCGGUGGUGGUGUCCCAGUCUGUAACAGGGGGAUAGUUUUAUGUUUUCCUUAGUUAUUUAAAUCGUUUUGUAUACGGAUUCUGUUUAAAUUUGGAAUUCGAGUCCUAGUCGUGUCUAGUUGUCGCUCUUUGAGCAGGGUAUAAAUAUAGACCCUAGGGCAUUGUAAUACAGACAUCUAUCAAUCAAUCAAACACCAGUUUUUACUCAUAUUCUAUUAUCUACUUUUCGACGACUUCGUCAUACUUUUUACUUUUUAUUACGAGUUCUUAGGAAUUCGUCGACUUAAGCUCGGCGCGUUCUCAAGUUCCGCAUGAAUACCUCUUGGCCGUGGCAUCCGGGCGCAUCGCUGUUGUCGGGACCAAAGUAUUCGAGUUAUCACCUUUGCCGAUAGUAAGGUCAAAUCGGCUGGCACGCCUUAACGUUUAAAUCGGGUAUUAGCCCUUUCUGUUUGUACAUCCAGCUUUUGCAUCAACAACUACGUUUAUGCUAGCAAUGAUUACUCGAAACUCAACCGGACGAGAUUAAAGUAAACACAUAAACCAAAGAACAAUAAAACAAGAACUUACUAGAAUUAGAAGUCAAAUUACUGAAGAAUCCUAUGAGCAAGCCUCGGGUUAGAAGACUUGAUCCCGCAGGUACAACCUCAAAGUAGACACCGACAGGCCGGGCUUCCUCCGAUCUACACCUCCACUCUAUCUCUCUCAAUCUAGUAGAAACUAGAAGAUCUAAUUCUACUCACAUUGGAUGCUAAGCCUAAAAGAAAUUUUAUUUAGAGGAGAGGUAUUCCUUCGAGGGCUCCUCUCAAGUCUAUGAUGAACUUGUCUCCUCCAGGGGCCAGGGGGUCUGGUUUUAUAGUCUCCUCAAAUGAAUGUGAGUCGUUGGAUCAAACCGACAUUGAUUGGACGGUUAUCCUUGAUCCUUUAGGUUGGUGGAGCUUGGUCCCCGAAAAGAGUUCUGAUUGGAGUCCAGGUCAGGGCAGGCGCCCAAGGGGGGAGGGCGGGCGCCCUGCCCCCGGGCCCGUUCGACCUCCCGUUCGUUCUCGUGGCUUCUAGAGUCUUCUAGAUGAUAGAAAAUUGCGCAGCACAUUAAUAUCUCUAUGUAAUCCCGAUGUGUGGGCCUUUUCUUCCUUAUUUCCUGAUAACCCCUUGCAGAAAUAGACAAAUAUCAAAACUCAUGGAAUUCUAUCAGAUAAAACCCUAAGUCUGGGUGUUGGUUGCAUUUGGAUCUUUUUCUUUAUUUAUUUGAUGAUUAUAUUUGGUACUUAAGGACCGUCAGCAACUCCCCCAAGCUUACCUCUUGCUCGUCCCUGAGCAAUGAUGAACUCAAGAGUUUCCGCAGUGGUUUCAUGCCUUAAAAGUAAGAUCUCAUCUCUGAGUUAGAGUAAACUGUUAAGACUUAAAACUUACUCAUUUUACCUUUCACAAUGGGGCUUGUAACCAUCACUUGUGUCUUGAGUAGUUAAAAGAUAAAACGGUCUAAUCAAGUGCCAUGUCUCUUAUUCUUGAUCAGCUAUAGCUCUGGAGUUUUUGCAAAUUUUCAAAUAAAACUCAGAGAUUCCUUGUAUGAUUCUCUCAUAUCUCUCUUUUGUGGUAUUUCUGGAUGCUUACCAAGGCAGUAAUGGUAUAUGCCUUCUCUCAAAGUAUGUGGUAUUUUUGGUAUAAGGCAUAGUGAUAUUGCCUUCUCUCUCACCCUACUCUAAUAAGGUUUUGAUAUCUGGAGCUCAUAGGUGGGAGACAGAUAAUACAUACUUACAAGACAUUUAUUGCAUAGUCAAACCAUGGAUCUAGAGAAACAAAUCAAUAAGUCAAAUCAAGAUGUGCAUGUGUGGCGAGUGAAUGGUGUAUGGUGAUGAUGGUGAUAACAAUGGUGAAAGUCUAAUUCUACUUUUUGCUCUUUUGAGAGGAUACAUACCUUUCUUGUACUUUGAAGCUUUUUGAGGAGAAUGAGAUGCUCUAUAUUUUCUUUUUCUUUUCUCUCAGGUGGGUAUCUUGUACCCCUAAUUCUACUAUCGGACACUUGUCCAUUUUUACCUCUCGUUUCACUUUUUCUUUUCUCCGAGGUUUCGGGCACUUGCCCCUUUUUAUUUCCUCGUAUUCUUUUUCUCUUUCUUAUUUUUUUAGAGCACUCAUCUCCUUAAAUAAUAUAGCAAGUGGUAGUAACCAAGAUAACUCGAGCAUUUAUUUCACAGGGAAAAAGUAGAAAUAGGGAAAUGUUUUUGGCUAUUCUAUCCCGGAUUAGGAGUAGAAUAAUUUUUGGUGAAUCUGGAGAUGGAAUUGAGUGGAUGUAUGUGGAUGCGUACUUCCGGAGUAGAAGCAGCAUGUGUGAGUGAACGUGCAAGUGGAUCUUGAUUUUAACCGCAUGACAAGCUCCUAAGGGUCUACACAGCUUGACCACACUCAAUGCUCAUAAGCAGUAAAAGUAAAUAUGUGGCUCAAAGUCUAGCAAGCAUGUAUAUAUGGCUGUGGUAUGAAUCUAAACUCUCAUCAUACAAGAACUCAUCAUGUGUUAUUUUAAAGAUUUCUUUUUUAAAAAAUAAAAUUCUCCAGAAUUCUAGCAUCUCUAGGAACAGAUAAACAGUAGCUCAACCUUCCCAUAUCAUAUCUGUUAACGACUUAGACUUUAGAUCAAGUACUCUUCCCACAAGUUCAGGUUUAGAGCAGGUUUAAAUUAUAACAGUUAUGCCUAAACUUGAGAGAGAUUUCAAUUUUAAGAACUAGUCAUGGCAGAGCAACUAUUCAUCAUUUCCAUGUGAGAGCUUAUCAUAAGGGUUCAUAGCAAACUUUAUUUAUUUAUUUAUUUAGCAAACUAAGCAAAGAUAUAAGCACAAAAUUUUUAUUUGGCUUUUUAUGAUUAUGCAUCUCUUUAUUAUUUGAGU
rnacentral:lncRNA from 1 species